UGCCUGUGAAAUCGAGAAUGUCAUCGAUCAACUGAUAUGCUAUGCCCUGGAAGAGAGAGUGUAGGUCUUCUUAACAGUUCAUUUGUCUAGCAAAAAUAGGAACAGCUUCUGUCUAAGGAAAAAUACAGCACACCAAGUGUCUGCCAUACUGAUAAGCAAGAGCUUGUACUUCUGUUGUUUGCUCAGCGAGGACAGCAAUAGCUUUGCAGCUGUCUUGUAGUAUGUCUUCUGCAAAUAAUAGUCCAUGCUGUACAAGCAUCCAUGAACAGGUGUCACAUUUGAAAGCAAAUAUGGCUAGGAAAAUUGUAGAUUGAUUAUAAAGGUGCAUAGCACGUACAUGUACAUAGGAUAGGGUCCUAGGGUUAGGAGGAGCCCUUGCCUAUGCUACAAUAAACCCUAGCGCCUGACCUGAUAGGGGCCGGUGGCAUAGCACAGGCGCCUGUCAGGGUGCCGGCAGCACAUGGGCCUAGCCGGGCUCUAGCCCAAUUACACAUAUUCUAACACACUCCCGCAGUCUAAUCGUCGGUACCACGAAUGUUUAGACUGGACCUGAACUCUGUGAAUACAAAAGAAGGCAACCCCUUGGUGAAGAUAUCGGCGUACUAAGACGAUGUGGGAACAUGUAGUACUCGAACAUCACCCAUAGCAACACGCUCCCGAACGAAGUGAAGAUCGAUCUCAAUAUGUUUGGUGCGCUGAUGCUGAACCGGGUUGGAGGAUAUGUAGACCGCGCUGAUAUUGUCACAAUACACCAAGGAGGCGCGGCGAAGUGGGGCAUGGAGCUCUUGAAGAAGCUGGCCCCUGCCAGGUAGCUUCGGCGAUGGCAUUGGCCACGACGCGGUACUCAGCUUCGGCACUGGACCUGGAGACAGUGUGUUGUCGCUUAGAGGACCAAGAAACCAGGUUGUCGCAAGGAAGACCGCAUAGCCAGAAGUGGAUUUGCGAGUGUCUGGACAGCCUGCCCAAUUCGCAUCAGAGUAUACCACCAGUGAAUCCUGACCUGAACACGGACGCAGCAGUAGGCCGAGAUGGAGAGUGCCACGGAUGUACCGGAGGAUGCGCUUCAGGGCAGCAAGGUGAGACUCUUGCGGAUCAUGCCUGUGGAGACAGACUUGCUGAACGGUGUAGGCAAUAUCCAGCCUGGUGAAAGUGAGAUACUGCAAAGCGUCGGCGAGACUGUGAAAAUCCGAGGCAUUGGUGACAGGGGCACCUGAAGCAGCCGACACCUUGGGAUUGGUGUCAACGGGUGUGGAACAUGACCUACACUCAGCCAUGCCAGCACGAUCCAGGAUAUCAAGCAUGUACUGCCGCCGAGACAACAGAAAUCCUCCACCAACAACAGGCUGCACACGCAUACCCAGGAAAUGAUGAAGAGAUCCAAGAUCCUUCAUAGAGAACUCCAGCUGCAAAGCCUAAAUAAUCUGUCGAAGCAACGUUGGAGAAGAAGUCGUGAGUACAAUGUCAUCAACAUAGAGUAAGAGAUACACGAUCUCGGUGCCUCGGUGAAACACAAACAAUAAGGUGUCAGAUUUGGCCUCCACAAAGCCAACAGACUGAUAAUAAGCUGCAAACUAACUAUGUCAGGCGCGAGGAGCUUGCUUCAAGCCGUACAGAGACUUGUUGAGGCGGCAAACGAAGUCUGGAUGAGCAGAAUCCUCAAAACCAGCAAGCUGAGCACAAUACACAGUCUCGGAAAGAGUGCCACGGAGAAAUGCAUUCUUGACAUGUAGCUGGUGAACAGGCCAGUGACGAGAGAGUGCUAGCGAUAGAACUGUCCGGACAGUAGCAGGCUUGACGACUGGACUGAAAGUCUCAUCAAAGUCCAUCCCUGGCCACUGAGUGAAGCCGCGAAGAACCCAUUGAGCCUUGUACCAAUCAAGACAGCCAUCUGAAUUGCACUUGUGCUUGAAUAUCCACUUACCAGUGACAAUAUUAGCACGCGACGGACGAGGCACAAGCUCCCAUGUGUUGUUCUGGAGAAGCGUCGCAUGCUCAUCUUCCAUAGUAGCCCGCCAAUUAGGAUAUUUGGGGGCACUGCGGAAGGACUUUGGAACGAGAGACAACGGCAUAGUGUGGAACAGAAUAGGCUGACGGAACCCAAGCAUGGCAUGGGUGGUCAUGCCAUGCUGGUUGAUGACGGGCGGAACAACGACAGCUCCUUUGGGAAGGACCGGAGCCCGAGCUCCUGGAUCGGCGCCUGGUGCGCUGGUGGUGGGGCCGGCAUCAAAGGCUGGAGGCGGUGAUGGGAGAUGAGGAGCAGCAGAGCGGCGCGUCUAGAUGAAGUGGAGUGGCGUCGAGUCGAAGCCAGGAGGGACCCAUGGAGCCGGGGGCAAGCCGGCGCCAGGGAUCCGCCAAGCGACGACGCUCCAGGGGCACUAGCUGGAACUCCAGGGGACGUGCCAGGGGCACUAGCGGGAACUCCAGGUCCACCAGCAGGGGCGCCGGGGUGACACCAGGAGGUGCUGGUGGGCUCUGGCGACGCACCAGGGGCGCCAGCAAGGGCAGAUGACAUGCUAGGGGCGUGGGGGGCGCUAGGGUGAUGGGUGUGUCGUCCGAGCUGACAUGCAUGAUAGAGAGAAGAGCUAAUAUCUUUAUUACAUGAUGGUAAAAUGUGCGCAAGAUGGGAAAGGGCGUCCAUCCUAGGAUGGCCGGGACGGUGAUGCCAGAUCAUAGAGGUGGCGCCAACAGUGAGAGUAGCAGCAGGGAGGUGCAAGGGGUAUAGUGGACCCGAACUAUUGCACCUGACAAUCACGUUCCUGGACCGAAGAUCCUUCACAGAACAACCAUACGGGUCAAAUUCAAUUGAGCAGUUGUUAUCGGUAGUAAACUGGCGCACGAAAAUAAGAUUCUUAACAAGCUUGCGGGAAACAAGGACAUUAUUAAGAUGCAAAGAACCGAGAAGAAUAGUUGUGAUAGUAGAAGUGACAGGGAGUAAAGAACCGUCAUCCACAGCAAUAGCUGAAGGAAAAGGCUCAGGCAGGAGGCGGUGGGCCGGCGUGGGUGCCCAGGAGGCGGCGAGGCUGCACGGCGCCGUGGCCAUGGCUACAUGAACGGAACAGACAGGGAAACAAAGAAAAAAAGAGGGAUUUGCCGAGAAUGACUCCUAAACUCGCGAUUGAACGAGCAAAAUGGAACAAGGACGAUGAGACAAAUGAGAUGGUGUGCUCACCUUCGACCACCGAUGAUGAACAAUGGCAACGGAAAAGCUCGCCGGAGUUGGGGAAGAUGACGGAGCCGGUAUCGGAUUCGCGCAAUCCACUGCACCACGGCGUAGAGCUCGAAGAGAGGAACUCCAUGGUGGUGUCGGUUUUCUCUAGAAGUCCACGGUUUCGCCAGAAAAUCUCGCCGAAAUUUGAUGAAGAUCGGACUUUGACUUCAGAUCUACGGAGCUACGAGACGCAACUCGUGAAAAUAUUUUCAGAUGCGUUGAGACGAACGCGGUGAUAUAUAUACGCUGGCUUCGGAAAAAAAUAUUUUCGAGUUAACUUUUCUAUUAUUGGAAUUUCUGGAUUUAUUUAUAUGCACGAAAACAAUUCCAGAAAUAGCCGGACUCGUUUUCUAAAGCGAGAAAAAUAUCUAGAAACUUCCAAAAAUUUCGAGAUAAAUCUCAAAGUUGAAUUGGGACACAAGGAAUCCAAAUAAAAUACUUGAAGCUUGUGAAAAGGAUUCUAGAGCCUUCCAAAAAUUGGAUUUAGCUCUGAGAAAAUGAGAAUAAAUUCCAGAAAAUUCUUGGAAGAGUGUGGACAACGUCUAAGCGCAUUUUUGAAACUUUUGCACUCAUGAAACACUAAGAUGCAUCAGCAUGAAUGCACAGAUAUAGAACAACAUUAUUUAAUUUAGAAAAGCAAACAAUUAUUUUCCUAUACUAAACUUUCUGUAAAGAAAAAUAAAUGUUAGGAAAAUUUUAAAAUUAUAAGAAAAUUAUUAUUUAAUUAUUCCUUUUAAUCACAUCCUGAAAUUCGGAAAUUUUAGGGUGUAACAAUGGAGAGGGGUAUAGAUGUCUAGAUGACAAGACCUACGUUGACAGCUAACUACUGGUCCCGUCUCGUAUCUGUGCAAUGUGACCUGUGAUGACACCAAAUCUUUUUUUACUUGCAUCCAUUACUGGUAGUCUCUGAUAAAUUCAUCUCAAGUCCUAUACUGAACAAUGAGGGGUUUGCGGAAGUCGUAAGUCACCACCGUAGUCUUGAAGUUUGCAGUUUGUAAAUCUGAUCUAUGUAUGAUACAAGUGUAGUUUGGAGCACUUCAGGUGUGGCUUAACGGCCAGCACUCAGUUAUAAAGUGCAGCAACAUUGUAUUUGCUGUUCUAGUCUGUAGUUCGGCCCAAAGCAGUGCUCUGUUUCCUGGGGGUGAGGCUGACUAUUUACAUGUGUAGUUUGGAGCAGUUCUGAGACAACACUAGACAAGUUAAACCCAAAAUUUUGGAGCAUGUUACUGGAAACAAAGAAAAGUACACUUUCAAUACGAACUGUCUUACUCCAUUUUACAGCUUAAAUGACGAAUAGUUAAAGAAUCAACUGAACGUAACAGCAUAUUGUAAGGCACUAAUCUGAUACCUCCACACCGUCACCCCACAUCAUACCUCAAACUUAUUCAAGUUUAUUAUGAGUAUAGUAUCUUUACAUCAGUACGUAUAAAAACUCCAGCACUAGAGAACAGCAUAAUGCAAGAAAGUAAGAAACGGAAUUCCUAACUAUCACUCAAGUAAAAUUCUGCUAUGCGCGUGAAUCCUUUUUUUUUGUCUUUUCUUUUUUUAGAGGCGUGAAUCGAUUUUUUCAGUCCGAUCUGUUGUUCUUGUGCGCCCGUUCGAGCCUCUUCUACGGCCCAGUUUUGCAACGCUCUUCACGGAUACCAACCCAGUUAUUUUCAGCCUGCCACUCGGGCUUUUCUUCACGUGGACUCUAUAAUAGUCACGUCAUGCCUCUAAAAUAACAGAAAACUAUAACUUCUACAAGCUUUUUUUUUAGCAUAACUCCCAGUAUUUAGUAGUUUCGUAAUCAAUAUAUUGAUAGGAGAGCCAGGAGGGACGACAUAUGUUUGGGGUAGCAGCACAUCUAAUCAGAGUCAUCUACGUUCACGCGUUCAUACCGGAUCGGAGACGCGACGGGAAAGUCGGAUCAAACUUGGUUAGAAGUCGAGGUGGGGUCCACAUGUCAAUAAUUGAAGUUGGACCAAAUCAAAAAAUUUAGGCAGAAGCAUUGCUUAUUAUGUAAGAUUGAAUCAAUAAAACUCGCCAUGAUGGCUUUCCCUCGGAAAAGAAUGAUAUAAUUUUUUGUGUGUGCCUUAUAAUAAAUAGUACAUAGACAAAAAUAAAUUAAUAUGGAAAAUUGUCGGAUUAGGCCACAUUGUUGCGUUAAAGUUUCUUUUAGAAAAAUACAUGGGUGUCUGGCAGCACUCCACUCCAAAAAACAGUUCCACUUCACUAGCUCCACAAAAUUGCCUGCCAAACACGUUCAGCUCCACAAACUCCAGCUCCAGAAAAAACGUGAAGCUAGGGUCAGAUCCACAUUUUUCCUGGAGUACCUUAGGGGUGCUCCAAAAACAUUAAUUUCAGACUUCCUCGUGGAGUUGGGGGUUAUUUACCCAUCUUUGCCACUCGUUACACAACACCUAAUUUUUCCUUUCCGCUCACUAUCUCCGUUUCCUCCCUCUAGCCAUCCCUUACCAGCACCGCGCCAUCCUCGCCAGUCGACGCUGCGCUGCCCACGUGGCCCUUGCCCAACGGAGCUGCGCUAGUGCGCUACCGACGCCACCGUCACCCUCCGGAGCUGCACCGUCCUCACCCUCCUUAGCCGUGGCCACGCUGCCCCUGCUCGCCGCCCCUGCCCAUGUCGGUCGCAUGGCCCCUGCUCGUCGGACCUCGCCGCCCCCACCCACUGGGGCCGCGGGGUUGCGCCCUCUUGCUGGCCGGAGCUGCGCCGCCAUCAUUGCUGCCGGAGAGGACGAGGCGGCGGCGCUGCUCGCCUUCAGGCGGGCGUUGGUGGUGGACGACCCGUGCGACGCGCUCGCUGGCUGAGCCCACGCGAACUCCACUGCGACGCUAUGCUUGUGGGUCGGCAUCUCGUGCGCAUCGCCGCCCGACAGCCGUGUUGUCACCCUCAACCUCAACGGCAUGGCACCCACCUGCUAGCUCUGGCCCGACGCUCCCCGCGGCUGGCUGGUGCUAGCCGGCCGUGGGGGCGCCGGGGCUACAGGCACGCUGCUGCUGCUGGCCGGCCACGGGUGGCCGGGCAACAACCGAUCUAGAGAGGACGGCGGCAGUGGUGGGGACAAGGCGCCGCCCAUGGCGUGGAGCUCAGGAUCUGAAAAAGAGAAAGGGGCGAAGAGGAAGGGAGAACAUAGAAGAGGCUGACACGUGGACCCAUUUACAAAGGGUAAAAUAGAUUAUUCACAACAAGUCUUCAUGUUUGUGGAGCUACCGCACUGCAAUCAGCCAAACACGUACAAUAACUUUAGUAUUUUUGUGGAGUUAGGGCCUGUUUGGGAGCACUCCACUUCAGAAAAACCAGCUCCACUCCACUAGCUCCACACUUUCCUAGCUCCACUCCACCAACUCUAAAAAAAUAUGGAGCUGCUGCACGUGUUUGGCUGAUGGCAGUGCUCCAGCUCCAAAAAUAUGAGCACUUGUUGUGAAUGGUCUAUUUUACCCUUUGUGAACGGACCCACAUGUCAUACUCUUCUAUUUUCUCCUCUGUUCUUCCUCUCUCUCCUCUCCUCUUCUCUUCUCAGUUUCCAGAGGGAUCUCCAGCUUCAGGGAGCCGUCCAUGGCCUGCGCCUGCUCGAUGAACACGGAUGGCCGCCGCGGGGGAGGUCGCCCCGGCCGCGCCGCCGUGGGGGAGCUCGGCGGGCGGGCGCGCGGCGGGCAUGCGGCGUAGCGGGCAGGCGAACGGCGGGCGGGCGGCGAGAUCGGGCAGGGGCGCCUGGGGCUGGGGCAACACGCGGCUUGCCGGCGUUCAGGCAAGGGGCUGGCGCGGGCGGGGCUCCGACGGGCGAGCACGGCGUCGCCAGCGGGCGGCCGGCCGGCGGCGAGCCACGGCCGGGCGCGACCACAACCAGGGGAAAGAGAAGGGGCGAGUGACAGGAGCAGGAGUCACGGGAUGUUUUCUUUUCUGAGCGAACCGGUACGUGUGUAACCGAUGACAGUGGUGGGUAAAUACCCACCAACUCCACGAGGAGGUUUGAAAAGGGAGUUUUUGGAGCACCCCCUGAGGUACUCCACAAAAAACGUGGAUCUGACCCCCUGCUCCACCUUUUUCCUGGAGCCGGAGUCGCUGGAGCUAGAUGCGUUUGGCUGCGAAAUUUUUAGAGUUGGUGAAGUGGAGCUUAGGUGGAGUAGAGUUGGUGGAGUGGAGUUAUAAAAUUUUUAGUGGAGUGUUGCCAAACACCCGAGUAUGAAUCCAAAUCUGAGAACAAUCGUGACACGAAAGAGAAAGGAAGGAAUUGUUAUUUGAACGUUCUAUAAUAACAUAUUAAAAUAUAAUUAAAAGAAAAUAAAAGGAAAAAGGAGCGGUCAACCGUGGAGCCCUUCGUUCGGUCGUUCCUAGCAUCGGGUCCAUCGCGUGGACUCGGCCUUUUCUUCACGUGGACUCUAAUAGUCACGUCAUGUCUCUAAAAUAAUGGAAACCUAUAACUUCUACAAGCUUCUUUUUAUUUUAGCAUAACUUCUAGUAUUUAAGAUCCGUGCUAUAGCAUAUUGAUAGGAUGGUUAAGAACCAUACAUAAAUACCUCAUCUCCCAAGCCUACUAUAAAUAAAUAUCUAACCUCAUUAGCUAUUCGAAAUGAUGUAUCACGGUCCGUAGAUUGUUGAAUUAGUUGUGCGAAAAUGUUGAAACAGGCAGCAGCCAGUCGGACUACCAAUCCUGCCUGCCGCCUCCUGCGCAUAUCCGUGAGAUAGGAGAGAGCAUGAGAGAGAUGACAGGAUGUGGAUGGAGGUCCGGCAAACGUUGGAGAAGAUGCGGCGCUAAUCUACUGAGACCCCACAGCUCGAAAUUGCUACAGUCCUCGUGACGUGGCACUAUGGACACCGUGGGUUGGGACUGCGCUACCGGCUUGCGAGGAGGAUGCAGUGGCUUGGUCAGUCUUGGUCUCUUGGAGGCUGGCGACGCGGCACGGUCACCGAACUUUCGUCCAGCUGGAUGGUCGUCAACAAGCUGAACUUGGAAGAAGACCUCAUUGACUUGGUGACUUGGCAAUUAGAGACUUGCGAGACUGAAUCGGUAUUUUAAAUAGCCUUGUCAUUACGCGCUGCAUCAAGGAGCACAGAGCCAAGCUAUGCGGACAGCCAUGGAGCACCAUUGCUCCAUCCUACUCGUAGCCUCCCUCCUCCUUGCAUCUCCAGCAUGGACAUCGGCCUCCGGCGCUGACCACCGUGCACUCAUGCGGUUCCGGUCCCUCAUCACGGACGACCCAUACGGGGCCUUGGCAUCAUGGGGUGGCGGCAACAUGACCGCGCCGGCGCCGUGCGGAUGGCACGGCAUCACGUGCGGGGUGCGCGGGCGCCGCCGCGGCCGCGUGACAGCGCUGGACCUCCGCGGGCUCGGCCUGGCCAGCUCCGGCACCGCGGCUCCUUUAUCCCUCUCGGGCCUCACCUACCUCCGGCGACUCGACCUCGCCGGGAACCGCCUCGGCGGUGGCAUGCCCUCCCCGUUGCCGCCCUCCCUCGAGCACCUCAAUCUCAGCCACAACGCGCUGCAGGGGCCGGUGCCCUCAGCGCUGGGGUCACUGCACCGCCUCCAGAAGCUCAGUCUCAGCUACAACAACCUCACCGGAGCAAUCCCUGCCUCCCUUGGCAACCUCACCUCCCUCACCAUCCUCAGCCUCGCCAUCAACAACCUUGCCGGCGCCAUCCCUGGCGCUCUCGGCAACCUCAAAGCUCUCACCCGCCUCUACCUCUCCAGCAAUAACCUCACCGGAGCAAUCCCUGCCUCCCUUGGCAACCUCACCUCCCUCACCAUCCUCGGCCUCGCCAGCAACAACCUCGCCGACGCCAUCCCUGGCACUCUCGGCAACCUCAAAGAUCUCACCGGCCUCUACCUCAACCAGAACAUGCUCCAAGGAUCCAUACCUUCCGCCAUGUUUAACAUCUCCUCUCUCCAGGAACUUCACGUGUGGAUGAACAACCUCACCGGUGCCAUCCCGCCGUCGCUCUGCAACGCCUCCAAGCUGGAGGUGGCACGGAUGGCGGAGAAUUCCUUCUCCGGAGUCAUACCGGACUGCCUUGGAACUCACCUCAAGAACUUGCAGGUACUGAUGCUGAACUCCAACCGGCUGGAAGCAAAUGUUGAUGCUGACUGGGGAUUCAUGGAUAGUCUGACCAACUGCAGCAAUCUGAAGGUCAUUGACCUGGCUGAAAACAAGCUGGGAGGUGUGCUUCCUGGCUCGAUCGCAAACCUUUCGACGAGCAUGGAGUACUUGAGCAUAAGUAACAACAUGGUAAGUGGGCAAAUACCUCAAGAAAUCGGCAACCUUGUCAACUUGAAGAGAAUUUAUAUGGAUCUCAAUAACCUUACUGGUAUUAUCCCUUAACAAGCUGGGCAACCUUCUCUUGUUCGGCAACAAGCUAUUCCUUGAGGACAACAUGCUCACGGGUCCCAUUCCUUCCAGUCUUGGUAGUUGCCCUUUGCAGUCGCUGUCCCUGGAGCACAAUCGCCUUACUGGUCCAAUACCAAAAGAAAUUCUCCUCAUAUCCACGCUUUCCGACUACGCGACUUUCCAAGAGAACAUGCUAACUGGAUCGUUGCCAUCGGAAGUUGGUCACCUGAAAAAUCUUGUGACCCUUGAUGUAUCUGGAAAUAGGUUAACCGGGGAAAUCCCCAACUCUCUUGGCGAUUGCCAAAUCUUCCAGUCUUGCAGUAUGAAAGGGCACAUGUUUCAAGGGAAAAUUCCAGAGUCAUUGGGACAACUGAAGGCCCUCUUGGUUCUUGAUCUUUCAAGAAACAACUUGUCUGGUCAUAUUCCAGACUUCUUUGGUAACAUGGAAGGUCUUGAACAACUGGAUAUCUCCUUCAAUAACUUUGACGGUGAAGUCCCAAAGCACGGAAUAUUUCUUAACACUAGCGCGUUUUCAUUUGAGGGAAACUCUGGCCUCUGUGGAGGUAUUGCUCAGCUGAAAUUGCCACCUUGCUCAGAUAAUGGCAGUACUAGCAACAAUAAGCGAUCACACAAACUUGUCAUGAUAGUCUCCAUAGCCACUGCCUUUCUAGGCAUCUCCCUGCUGCUUGCACUAUGUGUAUUAUGUCAUCAAAGAAGGAAGUUGAUAAAGGCAGAACAUGCCUUACCACUCAUCAAUGAUCAGUAUGUAAGGGUUUCAUAUGUCAACUUGCUGAAUGCAACAAAUAGUUUUGCUUCUGAAAACCUCAUAGGCAUUGGAAGCUUCGGCACUGUUUACAGGGGAACAAUGAUAAGCCAUGACCAAGAAGUUGUUGUCGCUGUGAAGGUGCUCAACCUUCAGCAGCGAGGGGCGUCACAAAGUUUCAUUGCAGAAUGUGAGACUCUGAGAUGUGCUCGACAUCGGAACCUUGUGAAAAUCUUGACGGUGUGUUCAAGUAUUGAUUCCGGUGGCCUUGAUUUCAAAGCUAUUGUAUUUGAUUUCCUACCAAAUGGAAAUCUAGACCAGUGGCUACACCGUCUCAGGGAACAAGGCACCCAUAGUAGGAUUGAUCUUGUCCAACGGAUAGACAUUGCCAUUCAUGUCGCUUCCGCACUUGAAUAUCUUCACCACUAUAAACCAACCCCAAUAGUUCAUUGUGAUCUCAAGACAAGCAAUAUUUGUUAGACUCGGCCUAGGAUCUCUAGAUGCAUAUCUAGUCGGGAUCACAAUGAACAUAGGUUCGAGGGGUUUCUUGUGGCAACCGAGAGUGAUAGAGAGAGAGAGGUAGGGGUACCUUCACCCCUAGGGGUGGAAGCAGCAGAGCUGCUGGCCAUCGCUGGUUCUGUUGUUGAAGAUCUGCGCAAGGCAGCGACGCGCAGUGCAAUUGCCUUGCCGGCGCGGCGGCGGUGGUGCUUCCUGCCGCUACUGCGCAAGACCUAGAUCAGUAGGUGUGUCGGUGGGGCGGCUGGCUGCGGCGAACCUCUUGAGCCGAGCCGUGGCCCCCACCCUGUUUAUAUAGCGCAGCGCGAUAGGGGCCCACCACCCAAUGCUAGGGUGAGCGCCCCCGAUCAGGGCACGGAUCAGGGUCCCGAUGGGCCUUUGGGCCCAUUGGGGAGGAGAUCAAUCUAACAGUCUCCCCCUUGAUCUCAUCAUUUACUUUUAACUUUACACUUUUCGCUUUUAUUCGUUUCAUCGUAGAUUAAUAUGUAGAGCAUGCCUCAUCGUCACAGCUCAAUCGCCGAUAGAAUCAACAGCUACAACACACCUCUCUAUUUUGAAACAAUUCUUUUUCUUUUGGGCCUUUUACAAUCCAUGAAUCAUAGGCUUUCCCUUAAACCCAUGCCAGCUAAGUGUUCUCUGAACACAUUGGGUGGUAAGCCUUUCGUGAGCGGAUCCGCUAGCAUAUCUUUUGUUCUUAUAUGCUCGAGACUUAUAGUGCGAUCCUGGAUUCUGUCUUUCACAACAUAAAACUUUAUCUCAAUGGUUUUGGAAGCAUUGCUUGAUUUGUUGUUGUGAGCAUAGAAUACUGCUGGCUCAUUGUCGCAGUACAUCUUUAGUGGUCUGUGAAUACAGUCAACCACUCUCAAUCCGGGUAUAAAUUUCUUUAACCACAUCGCCUGCCCCAUGGCCUCAUGACAUGCUAUGAAUUCUGCAUGCAUCGUUGAUGACGCAGUUACUUUCUGUUUUGAGCUUCUCCACGAGAUAGCUCCUCCUGCGAGAGUGAACACGUAUCCAGACGUGGAUUUUCUAUCAUCUUUAUCUCCCGCAAAAUCUGCAUCUGAAUACCCUUUUAUCUCUAGGGAAUCAGAUCUCUUAUAUGUAAGCAUGAGUUCUUUUGUGCCUUGCGCGUAACGCAAUGCUUUCUUUACCAUCUUCCAGUGUUCUACACCUAGAUUACUUUGAUAUCUACCAAGAACCCCGGUGGCAAAAGCAAAGUCAGGGCGAGUGCAUACUUGAGUAUACUGUAGGCUUCCGACAGCUGAAGCAUAUGGAACCGCUUUCAUUUGAUCGAUCUCGUUAUGCGGACAAGGAGCUGUUAGGGCCUAGCCUAGGAUCACUAGAGCUCAUCUAGUCGGGUUCGAGAGAAACAUGAGGGGCAAGGGGUUCCUGGUGAGUGCCUAGUGUGAGAGAGGAGAGUAAAGGGGUACCUUCACCCCUAGGGGUGGGAGCAGCAGAGCUGCUGGCCAUCGCUCGUUCUGUUGACGGAGUCUGCGCUAGGCAGCGACGCGCAGUGCCGAGCUUGGUCGGCGGCGAAGUGGCGGUGGAACUUCCCGCCGCUACUGCGCAACCUAGAUCGGUAGGUGUGUCGGUGGGGGCGGCUGGCUUCGGCGAACCUCGUGAGCCGAGCCGGGUCCCCCACCCUGUUUAUAUAGCGCAGCGCGACAGGGGCCCACCACCCAUUGAUAGGGUGAGUGCCCCCGAUCAGGGCGCAGAUCAAGGUCCUGAUUGGCCGUUGGGCCAAUCGGGAAAGAGAUCAAUCUAACAUUCUCCCCCUUGAUCUCAUCAUUUACUUUUAGCUUUGCACUUUUCACUUUUAUUCGUUUCAUCGUAGAUUAAUAUGUAGAGCAUGUUUCAUCGUCACAGCUUGAUUGCCGAUAGAAUUAACAGCUACAACACAUCUCUCUAUUUUGAAACAAUUCUGUUUCUUUUGGGCCUUAUUCAAUCCAGGAAUCAUAGGCUUUCCCUUAAACCCAUGCCGGCUAAGUGUUCCUUGAACACAUUGGGAGGUAAGCCUUUCGUGAGCGGAUCCGCAAGCAUAUCUUUUGUUCUUAUAUGCUCGAGACUUAUAGUGUGAUCCUGGAUUCUGUCUUUCACAACGUAGAACUUUAUCUCAAUGGCUUUGGAAGCAUUGCUUGAUUUGUUGUUGUGAGCGUAGAAUACUGCUGGUUCAUUAUCGCAGUACAUAUUUAGUGGUCUGUGAAUACAGUCAACCACUCUCAAUCCGGGUAUGAAUUUCUUUAGCCACAUUGCCUGCCCCGUGGCCUCAUGACAUGCUAUGAAUUCUGCGUGCAUCGUCGAUGACGCAGUUACUUUCUGUUUUGAGCUUCUCCAUGAGAUAGCUCCUCCUGCGAGAGUGAAUACGUAUCCAGACGUGGAUUUUCUAUCAUCCUUGUCUCCCGCAAAGUCUGCAUCUGAAUACCCUUUUAUCUCUAGGGAAUCAGAUCUCUUAUAUGUAAGCAUGAGUUCUUUUGUGCCUUGCGCGUAGCGCAACGCCUUCUUUACCAUUUUCCAGUGUUCUAUACCUGGAUUACUUUGAUAUCUACCGAGAACCCCGGUGACAAAAGCUAAGUCAGGGCGAGUGCACACUUGGGCAUACUGUAGGCUUCCGACAGCUGAAGCAUAUGGAACCGCUUUCAUUUGAUCGAUCUCGUACUGGUUCCUGGGACAUUGAAAAUUCCCAAAACUGUCGCCCUUGACUAUAGGAGCAGGUGUGGCUUUACUCGCAUGCAUAUUGUACUUCUUUAGAACCUUUUCUAAAUAUGCCUUUUGCGAUAACCCUAGAACCCCAUUCAAUCUAUCUCGGUGAAUUUCUAUGCCCAAAACAUAUGUUGCUUCACCAAGAUCCUUCAUAUCGAAGUUUGAGGACAAGAACUUCUUUGUCUCUUGUAGUAGACUGAUAUCACUGCUUGCAAGCAAAAUAUCAUCCACAUACAGGAUUAGGAAAAUGUAUUUCCCAUUUUUGAACUUUGCAUAGACACAAUUGUCCUCUAUAUUCUCUUGAAACCCAAAUUUCUUUAUUAUAUCAUUAAACUUUAGAUACCACUGUCUAGAGGCUUGCUUUAAUCCGUAAAUGGAUUUCUUUAGACGACAUCCCAUAUGCUCUUUGUCUUCCAUGACAAAACCCUUUGGUUGUUUCAUAUAGACGUUUUCUUCUAAAUCCCCAUUUAGAAAUGCCGUCUUUACAUCCAUCUGAUGUAACUCUAAAUCAAAAUGCGCAACUAGUGCCAUUAUGAUUCUGAAGGAGUCUUUACAUGAGACAGGAGAAAAAGUCUCAUUAUAAUCUAUUCCUUCUCUUUGUGUAAAACCUUUUGCCACAAGUCUCGCCUUAUAUCUUUCUAUGUUCCCUUUGGAGUCACGUUUAGUCUUGUAGACCCAUUUACAGCCUACUGUUUUGGCUCCUUUAGGAAUCUCCUCAAGUUCCCAAACAUUGUUGGAACUCAUCGAUUUCAUCUCAUCUUCCAUGGCCUCUAGCCACUUCGAUGAGUGAACACUUUUCAUGGCUUCUUCAUAUGAAGUGGGAUCACCUUCUAUAUGAACUUCUUCUGUAUUAUAAACUUUAUAACAAUCAGGGAUGGCUGAUUUUCUGACCCUUUGAGACCUUCUAGGCCCCUCACUUUCAGGCAUAUUCUGUGCCUCUGCUUGUGGCACACUAUUCUGAGGUGGCUGCUGUAACUCUUCCUCGUGUGCAACAAUGGGUUCGGUUGGCUCCUGAAGGACAGGUUCCAAAACUUCACUCAUCGUUUCCACGGGUGGAAUCACAGUAGGUGCCUGCACCACAAUAUCAGGGACUGUAGCAGGUGCUUGCACCACGACCUCAGGAACUAUCGGUGCGGGAACAAUAGGUAGUGAGAAGUAUGGUUCCUGAAUCAUCGGAUUAGGUGCACACACCCGCUUCUCCUCAAGAUCAAUUUCUCGAGCUACCAUGCUCCCCCUCACCAUUUCAUCCUCUAAGAAAAUCGCCUGUCUCGUUUCUACAAACUUUGUGAAUCUGUCUGGACAGUAGAAACGAAAACCCUUUGAUUUUUCCGGGUAGCCGAUGAAGUGGCAACUAACUGUUUUGGGAUCUAGUUUCCCGAUGUUUGGGUUAAACACUUUGGCCUCAGCUGGGCUCCCCCACACACGUAAGUGGUUUAGUGAGGGUACUCUUCCUGUCCAUGGUUCGUACGGUGUUUUGGGCACCGACUUACUUGGAACUCUAUUAAGAAUGUGAAUAGCGGUCUUCAGUGCCUCCAUCCACAGUCCCAAUGGUAAGGUGGAAUAGCUCAUCAUGCUGCGCACCAUAUCCAUCAGUGUACGGUUACGCCUUUCAGCUACUCCAUUUUGCUGAGGUUCGCCCGGCAUUGAAUACUGGGCUACUAUGCCAUUUUCCUGCAAGAACCUUGCAAAGGGUCCAGGAACUUGGCCGAAUGGGGUAUGCCGACCAUAGUACUCCCCCCCACGGUCGGAUCUUACUAUUUUGAUUCUUUUGUUGUGCUGAUUUUCAACUUCAGCUUUAAAUAUCUUAAAUUUAUCCAACGCUUCUGAUCUUUCUUUGAUAGGAUAAAUAUAACCGUAACGGGAGUAAUCAUCUGUGAAUGUUAUGAACAAGUCAUAGCCAUCCACACUUUUCACAGGAAAAGGUCCACAAAUAUCAGUGUGGAUUAUCUCUAAAAUUCCUGUGCUACGUUUAGCGCCUUUUUUAAUUUGCUUUACAAAUUUUCCUUUAAUGCAAUCAACGCAUUGUUCUAAGUCUGAGAACUCUAAUUGAGGAAGAAUUUCAUUCUUAACUAAUCUUUCUAUUCUCCCCCUCGAAAUAUGGCCUAAACGACAGUGCCAUAAUUUCGACGAUGUUUCAUGAGUUCUCUUUCUUUUCUUUGUUUCUUUCUCUGACGAGGAUACAUUCAUAUUCACAUCACACACAGAAUUAACUUUUUCACGUAAUGAUAAUAAAUACAAUUCAUUGUGAAGGAUGGCAACACCAACACAUGCAUUAUCGAACCAAAUGGCACACUUUCCAUUACCAAAAUGACAUUCAUAACCAUCAUGGUCCAAACGUGAAAUACUUAUUAAGUUUCUGUGUAAUGAGGGAACAUAAAGCACAUCUUUAAGUACAAGCAUGAAACCAUCAACUAGCUCUAAAGAGACAUCGCCAACAGCUUCAACUUCUGCUUGGACUCCAUUUGCGACUUCAACGCAUCUUUCGCUUCUUUGCGUAGUCCUCGUCGAAUGGAAUCCCUGUAAAGAAUUUGCAACAUGAACAGUUGCACCUGAGUCAAUCCACCAAGUAGAUUUCGAAUACUGUGUAUACAAGGAUUCAUUUACAAAAGAAAUAGUGUUCUCACCUCUUUUUGCCAUUAUUGACUUUAACCAGUCGGGGCAGUCUUUCUUGAAGUGCCCCUUUUUCUUGCAAUGUAGACAUUGGUCUUUGUCUACUGGGAGAAGCUUUUGGUGAUUCUGCUGCAUAGGAGCUUUUCCACGUGCCUUGAAAGAGGGGUUAGCAAUCUUUUUUCUGUUAUCCUUCACAUAGUGUAAUGAACCACCAUGUGAGGAUCUAAGUCUGUCCUCUUCCUGCACGCACAUGGCGAUCAUUUUCUCCAUGUCCCACUGUUCUGGCUGCAUGUUGUAAUUGACAACAAAAGUGUCAAACUCUUUAGGCAGAGAAGCAAAAACCAAAUGCAUAAUGUGCCCAGGCUUGAGCUCAAGAUCCAUAGGCUUCAGCUGCGCUGCCAAGUUAUACAUCCUCAUGAUGUGGUCUCUUAUGCCAGUCCCUCCGCCAUUGUACCUCUCUGUGGCCAGCUGCUUAAACAGCUGGGUAGCAUAUAUCUUUGAGGAACCAGUGAACUGAUUCCUUAUCUUGUCGAGGUACUCUGAAACGGAGUCACACUCUGUGAUCGAGCCCAAAAUGGCAGGCUCAAUCGUAUUCUUUACCAAAGCCAUACAUUUCUUGUUGGCAGUGGUCCACUGUUUAUUCUCAAGGGUGUAUGCCAACUCCAGUGGAGCAUAGUCCCUCUCCUUUUGCUGCCAUGCAGCAUCAUCAUCACCAUCAGCCCUCACUGGCUUCUGUGGAGCUUGUGGCUGCGGUGUGGUCAGCACCCAGUCAACUUCUCCACAAACGAAGGAGAACUCAAUCUUCUUCCUCCAUUCUGUGUAGUUGUUGCCUUUGAGAAUGGGUAUCUCUUUGAGACACGCCAUUAAGUUGAAUGAUCCUGAAAUUCACAAUCCAUAAGUGAGAUCAUAACGACAAUUGCAUGAUUCAUUUCCAACGUUGGUCAAAAAAUAAAACAUACAACUGUUGAUGCAAUUUAAAACUAUAUCACCGUUGGGCAGAAAUAGAAAUAAAGGCAUCAAAAUAACUUUUUAAAUCAUGAUACAGUUAUUAACAACGUUGGUCAAAAAAUAACAGUACCAUGAUCUAAUUAACUUUAUCAUGCUCUCACAAAAUUUAAUUAUCUCGUUGGUUCAAAUUAAAUUGAAAUAGAGCAAUAAUUAUGACUUUUGCAGCGGAAACUGUGAAAUAAAUCUAUUUUCAGAAGCAAAACACUGUACAAAACUUUAUUAAUCUCUAAUACAAAUUAUCUCGUUGGUUCAAAUUGAAUUAGAGACUAAAACUGUGCAAAAACCAUUAAUUAAAAGCUUCUGGAAAUAGAAAAAACAAAAAAACAAAGGUUACUAUUCAAAACGCGAAAACCGGCCCACGCGCGAAAACGGCCCACAGCCCGUUCCCGCGCGCGGCCCGCUCGCGCGACGCCGGCGGCCCGCGAAACGCGACGCAGGCGGCCCGCGAAACGACGCAGGCGGCCCGCUAACGCGGCCUGCUAAAACCGGCUCGUCGCCAGCCUAGCGCGCGGCGCGCGCGGCUGCAGGCCGCAACCUGGGCCUGGGCCGCGAAAGCGGCCUGCCGCCGCGUCCCGCCUGGGCCAAAACUGGCCCGGAUGAUCUCAACCGUCCGUGUGAAAUCGACGGCCGAGCGUCAUUUUCGGCGGAUCAAAACCGGCGGAGCGCCGGCUCCCCUGGAAACCCUAGUCACUUUCCUUCUUUCCCCCGGCGCGCGUCUCUCCGCUCGCUCUCGCCGCGGCGGCGGCGGCGGGGCUUUCUCUCCCGCGCCCGGCGAUGGCCGACGGCGGCGGUGGAGGGAUGGCCCCGCCGGCGCACGGCCGCGGCAGCCCCCUCCUCCCCCCCUUUUCUUUUCUAUCCUUCCCCCUUCUUCUCUCCAAAGAAAUCCGAGAGUUCGAGAUCUAGGGUUAGAUCUAGAUGAAGAAGAAGAAGGGGCCGGCGCCACCGCGGGCCCCCUCGCCGGCGCGCGUGUCCUCCCCGAGGGUUGGGCGCGCCGCCGUCGAGCGGUCCCGUAGUGGUGCUUGUGCGCCCCCCCGGGCCCCGAGCGGAAGCUCCGGCGGCUCGGGUGAGCCUUUUUCCGGCGAGCCCGAGGCUCGGCCGGCCUUUGCCACUCGCCGGCGAUGGCCGGCGGCGGUGAAGGCGACAGUAGGUAAGUGGUCCCGUGUCUCCCUUGCUUUAGAUCUAGGGUUAGGGUUAGGGAUUCGUUUCUGUUGCUUUUCUUUCUUCUUCUUUUUCUCGAUCUACUGCUUUUCCCGAUCUAGAAAAACUUCUAGGAGGUGUCUGAUACCAAUGUUAGGGCCUAGCCUAGGAUCACUAGAGCUCAUCUAGUCGGGUUCGAGAGAAACAUGAGGGGCAAGGGGUUCCUGGUGAGUGCCUAGUGUGAGAGAGGAGAGUAAAGGGGUACCUUCACCCUAGGGGUGGGAGCAGCAGAGCUGCUGGCCAUCGCUCGUUCUGUUGACGGAGUCUGCGCUAGGCAGCGACGCGCAGUGCCGAGCUUGGUCGGCGGCGAAGUGGCGGUGGAACUUCCCGCCGCUACUGCGCAACCUAGAUCGGUAGGUGUGUCGGUGGGGGCGGCUGGCUUCGGCGAACCUCGUGAGCCGAGCCGGGUCCCCCACCCUGUUUAUAUAGCGCAGCGCGACAGGGGCCCACCACCCAUUGAUAGGGUGAGCGCCCCCGAUCAGGGCGCAGAUCAAGGUCCUGAUUGGCCGUUGGGCCAAUCGGGAAAGAGAUCAAUCUAACAGGAGCUACACCAGUGGCUACACCACCGUCUCAAGGAACAAGGCACCCAUAGUAGGAUUGAUAUUGUCCAACGGAUAGACAUUGCCAUUCAUGUCGCUUCUGCACUCGAAUAUCUUCACCACUAUGAACCAACCCCGAUAGUUCAUUGUGAUCUCAAGCCAAGCAAUAUUCUCCUUGACAAUGACAUGGUUGCCCAUGUUGGUGAUUUUGGGCUCGCAAGAUUUGUGCAUCAAGACCAGACUAACCCCUCAGAUAUAUCAAGUGGUUGGGCUACGAGAAGGGGAACCACUGGAUAUGCUCCUCCAGGUCAGGUUCUAACAAGUACACUGCAUUUUACUUUCAUGAUUGGUUGAAAAUUGAAAUCCACAAGCAAGUAAAAUGCAUUGCUCCUUUUUCUAUCAUUUAACAUUGUAACUGUAGAAUUGCUGAUAGUCUUCUUUUAAUUGCUGAAUAUGUGUGUUCCAAACAGAGUAUGGACUGGGUAACGGAGUCUCAAUCUAUGGUGACAUGUACAGCUUCGGAGUACUAUUGUUGGAAAUUUUCACAGGAAAAAGACCAACAGAUAGCGACUUCGUGCAAGACCUCAACCUUCAUAGGUACGUGCAAAUAGCACUGCAAGAUCAGCAAGUCACCAGUGUGGUAGACCAACAGUUACUGCCAGUACAAGAUCCGGAACUCGAAGGGAGAACAAGCAGCUCCAGUAGCACCAGAGAAAUUAUAGUUGCCUGUGUUACUUCAAUUCUGCAGAUCGGACUUCUGUGCUCGAAGGAACUUCCAAAAGACCGCUUGCUGAUUGGUGAUGCCUUGAGAGAGCUUCAGAGAAUCAAAGACAAUUAUAACCAGUUGCACUUAUUAAGUACAUAGAACUUUCUGAAACACAGGAUUUCCAUAUCCAGAACCAUUUUACAGUAUUCCGUGAUCAGAACAGAUACCAGGUCCUUGACUGCACUCAACCAAGUGUUGCGCUUUUUACUUUUAAAAAGACAUGAAAGCAUAAGAUUGACGUUGCAUACACAAUGGAUGCCAGUAUCGCAUCCACCUGCACGUCAGGGUUGAUAUGAAAAGAGAAUGAUUUUAAUAUAUGAUGUGGCCCAUGUAAUUAAAGAGAAUGAUUUUCAUAUGAAAAGAUCGCAGUGUGUGUUUCUUUGAAGAUCUAUUAAUGUUUUACUCCAAUUAUUAAGAGAUAUGUUGUUUUGCUAUCUACAUAAUACAUACUCAUAAGGCAACUUUUUGCAUCCAACUUCUACUCUGGCAUUAUCCGGUUAUGCCUGUCAUCAGGCAAUCUGCAGAAAUAGAUGAAUGGUAUAAAUGGAGGGAAAACAGAGGUAAAGCUCUUGUUCCAAACCAAUAAUAAACUGUUCAGCAACCAAAACAUGCAUAAUGCAUUGUUACAUUUUUAAAAGAAAUGAUGCAUCAUUAUGGAUUCUACUGGCUGCAGGCAUGUUUAACCAAUACUACAUUUUCGUCUUCACCAAUUCACUUUGUUCUCAUGAACUUUUGAGUAAGAUCUUUGAGCGCUUGCCUCGAGUUAAGCACAACUUGAUCCUCGCUAUCAGGAAGAUCAUCGAUAGCGCCCGCUGCCAGUUUUGCAUGUUCAGCAGCAACAGACCUCGUCCUCUCGAUUCCCUGACUUUUUGAAAGGUAUUUGAGGGCAAAAUUGAGCAGUUCUGAGACCACACUAGACAAUUUAUGAGCAUUUCACAACCCAAAUAGUUGCAUUAUAUUACUGGAAACAAAGAAAAGUACACUUUCCUUUCAAAAAAAAAUACACUUGCAAUACGUACCGUCUUAUAACAUUUAAAGGGUCAUCAAAUCCCUGUUCAACAAUCUCAUGCAGUUCAGGGAAUUCUUCCAUCGCAAAAAGUAUGGGAGCUAUCACAAUUCCCUGUCCAUACAGGGCAUAUAUGAUUCCUUACAUGUCAUUGAUAUCUUAAAAAGUAAAAUACUACUGAGGAAAUAUUGAGUGAAUAACUGUAUUACUUGAUGGAUAUCAGACAAGGAGGCUUUGCCUUGGGAAGCUGAUGUGCCUGUGAAAUCCAGGAUGUCAUCGAUCAACUGAUAUGCUAUGCCCUGGAAGAGAGAGUGUAGGUCAUUUUAACAGUUCAUUUGUCUAGCAAAAAUAGGAACAGCUUCUGUCUAUGGAAAAAUACAACACACCAAGUGUCUGCCAUACUGAUAAGCAAGAGCUUGUACUUCUGUUGUUUGCUCAGCGAGGACAGCAAUAGCUUUGCAGCUGUCUUGUAGUAUGUCUUCUGCAAAUAAUAGUCCAUGUUGUACAAGCAUCCAUGAACAGGUGUCACAUUUGAAAGCAUAUAUGGCUAGGGAAAUUGUAUUUUGAUUAUGAAGGUGCAUAGCACGUACAUAUACAUAGGAUAGUGUCCUAGGGUUAGGAGGAGCCCUUGCCUAUGCUACAAUAAACCCUGGCGCCUGACCUGACUGGGGCCGGUGGCAUAGCACAGGCGCCUAUCAAGGGGCCGGCCGCACAUGGGCCUAGCCGGGCUCUAGCCCAAUUACACAUAUUCUAACGUGCUCCCGCAGUCUAAUCGUCGGUACCACAAAUGUUCAGACUGGAUCUAAAAUCUGUAAAUACAGAAGAAGGCAACCCCUUGGUGAAGACGUCGGCGUACUAAGAUGAUGUGGGAACAUGUAGUACUCGAACGUCACCCAUAGCAACGCCCUCCCGAACGAAGUGAAGAUUGAUCUCAAUAUGUUUGGUGCGCUGAUGCUGAACCAGGUUGGAGGACAUGUAGACCGCGUUGAUAUUGUCACAAUACACCAAGGAGGCGCGGCGAAGUGGGGCAUAGAGCUCCUGAAGAAGCUGGCACAGCCAGGUAGCUUCGGCGAUGGCAUUUGCCACGACGCGAUACUCAGCUUCGGCACUGGACUUGGAGACGGUGUGCUAUCGCUUGGAGGACCAAGAAACCAGGUUGUCGCCAAGGAAGACCGCAUAGCCGGAAGUGGAUUUGCGAGUGUCUGGACAGCCUGCCCAAUCAGCAUCAGAGUAUACCACCAGUGAAUCCUGACCUGAACACGGACGCAGCAGUAGGCCGAGAUGGAGAGUGCCACGGAUGUACCAGAGGAUGCGCUUCAGGGCAGCAAGGUGAGGCUCUCGCGGAUCAUGUGGAGACAGACUUGCUGAACGGUGUAGGCAAUAUCCAGCCUGGUGAAAGUGAGAUACUGCAAAGCGCCGGCGAGACUGUGAAAAUCCGAGGCAUUGGUGACAGGGGCACCUGAAGCAGCCGACACCUUGGGAUUGGUGUCAAUGGGAGUGGAGCACGGCCUACACUCAGCCAUGCCAGCACAACCCAGGAUAUCAAGCAUGUACUGCCGAUGAGACAACAGAAAUCCUCCACCAACAACAGGCUGCACACACAUACCCAGGAAGUGAUGAAGAGGCCCAAGAUCCUUCAUAGAGAACUCCCACUGCAAAGCCUGAAGAAUCUGUCGAAGCAAUGUUGGGGAAGAAGCCGUGAGUACAAUGUCAUCAACAUAGAGCAAGAGAUACGCGAUCUCGGUGCCUCGGUGAAACACAAACAGUGAGGUGUCAGACUUGGCCUCCACAAAGCCAACAGACUGAUAAUAAGCUGCAAACUAACUAUGCCAGGUGCGAGGAACUUGCUUCAGGCCGUACAGAGACUUGUUGAGGCGGCAAACGAAGUCUGAAUGAGCAGAAUCCUCAAAACUAGCAAGCUAACCACAAUACACAGUCUCAGAAAGAGUGCCAUGGAGAAAUGCAUUCUUGACAUGUAGCUGGUGAACAGGCCAGUGAUGAGAGAGUGCAAAUGAUAGAACUGUCCAGACAGUAGCAGGCUUGACGAUCGGACUGAAAGUCUCAUCAAAGUCCACCCCUGGCCACUGAGUGAAGCUGCAAAGAACCCAUCGAGCCUUCUACCAAUCAAGAGAGCCAUCCGAAUUGAACUUGUGCUUGAAUAUCCACUUACCAGUGACAAUAUUAGCACGCGAUGGACGAGGCACAAGCUUUCAUGUGUUGUUCUAGAGAAGCGUUGCAUGCUCAUCUUCCAUAGUAGCCCACCAAUUAGGAUCAAUGAGGGCACUGCGGAAGGACUUUGGAACCAGAGACAACAGCGCAAUGUGGAACAGAAUAGGCUGACAGAACCCAAGCAUGGCACGGGUGGUCAUGCCAUGCUGGUUGAUGACGGGCGGAACAGCGACAGGUCCUUUGGGAAGGACCGGAGCAUGAGCUCCUGGAUCGGCACCUAGUGCGCUGGUGGUAGGGCUGGCGUCAAAGGCUGGCAGCGGUGACGGGAGAGGAGGGGCGGCGGAGCGGCACGUGUAGAUGAAGCGGAGUGGCGUCGAGUCGAAACCAGGAGGGACCCAUGGAGCCAGGGGGCAAACCGGAGCUGGGGACCCACCAGGCGACGACGCUCCAGGGGCACUAGCGGGAACUCCAGGGGACGCGCCAGGGACGCUAGUGGGAACUCCGGGGACGCCAACGGGGGCGCCGGGGUGACACCAGGAGGCGCUGGUGGGCUCUGGCGAUGCACCAGGGGUGCCAACGGGGGCGGAUGAUGUGCCAGGGCCGCGAAGGGGCACUAGUAGGGGUGCCGGGGCGACGCCGGGGGCGCCGAGGCGGCGCUGGGAGGCGCUAGUAGGGGCGUCGGGGCAACACCAGGAGGCGCCGGGACGGCGCCAGUGGGUGUCAAGAGGGGCACCAUAGGGGGCACAGCGAGGGGUGCUGACGGUGCCAGUGGGACCUGAAGGCAAAGUGGGCUGUCAAGUUCCGUUGGGAACCGGCACAUGGUCAGUAGCGUCGUCCAAAAGACUGUAAUCCACCGGGGAAUGUGGACAGGAAUUCUCAGCAUAGGGAAAUGAGGACUCAUCCAAGUUGACAUGUCGGGAGAUGAUGAUUCAGUUAGAACCAAAGUCAAAACAGCGGUACCCUUUAUGAUGAGCAGAAUAUCCAAGAAAAAUACACGAGGUGGACCAUGGUGCUAACUUGUGACUAACUGUGGUGGAAAGGUUGGGAUAACAUCUACAACCAAAGACGCGGAGGUGAUCAUAGGACGGUGCAGUGCCGUACAACGCCUCAUGUGGAGUGCGAAAAGCAAGGGUCUUGGUAGGUAGCAUGUUGAGCAGAUAUGUCGUGGCGUGGAGAGAUUUGACCCAAUAGUGAGGGGGAAGGCUUGCUUGGAAGAGGAGGGAGCGGAGGAUGUUGUUCGUAGUGCAAAUGAUCCGCUCAGCUCAACCGUUUUGCGGCGACGUGUAUGGGCAUGACAUGCGGAAGUGGACACCACGGGAGAGAAAGAACGUGCGGGCGCUGGAGUUGUCAAACUCGUGAUCGUUGUCGCACUGGACGGCCUUAAUGGUGGCGCCAAACUGUAUAGUCAUGAAGGAAAAGAUGUUAGCAAGAGUAUCAAACGUGUCAUAUUUCAACCGCAGGGGAAAACUCAAGGAAAAAUGAGAGCAAUCAUCGAGAAUAAUCAAGUAGUAUUUAAAACCCGAGAUGCUAGGAAUAGGUGACGUCCAAAGAUCACAAUGAAUAAGAUUAAAAAUCCUAGAGGCUCGAGAGGAGGACACCUGAAAGGGAAGACGGGUGUGUCGUCCGAGCUGACACACAUGACAGAGAGACGAGCUAAUGUCUUUAUUACAUGACGGUAAAAUGUGCGCAAGACGGGAAAGGGCGUCCAUCCCGGGAUGGCCGAGACGGUGAUGCCAGACCAUAGAGGUGGCGCCAACAGUGAGAGCAGCAGCAACAGGGAGGUGCAAGGGGUAUAGUGGACCCGAACUAUUGCACCUGACGAUCACGUUCUUGGAUCGAAGAUCCUUCACAGAACAACCAGACCGGUCAAAUUCAAUUGAGCAGUUGUUAUCGGUAGUAAAUUGGCGCAUGAAAAUAAGAUUCUUAAUAAACUUGCGGGAAACAAGGACAUUAUUAAGAUGCAAAGAACCGAGAAGAAUAGUUGUGCCAGUAGAAGUGACAGGAAGUAAAGAACCAUCAUCGACAACAAUAGCUGAAGGACAAGGGUACCACUGGGUGAAAUUGUGCAAAAAGGAAUGAGCAUCAGAGGUCAUAUGGGAGGUAGCACCUCAGUCGAAGUACCACUCAUGCUGUUGCGGCUGGUUCAGCGUCAUAGUGAUGAAGGUGGAGGCAAGGGACUGCUGAUCCCACGAUGGCGUGCUGGCGGCGGUGCUCAAGUGGCCAAAGGGCUGGUACGGCGCUUGCUGCAGGGCCUGCGCCAGGGCGGCCUGGUAUGUCUUGGCCUGCGCCUGGGCAGCCUGCAACUAGGCGGCCUGCAGCUGGGUGGCCUCGAACUGGGCCACUUGGAACGCCUGGAGCUGCAUCUGCUAUGCAUGCGUCGAGUACUGGGCCAACAUGGCAUGAGGGUGUGCCCCAGCCUGCUGAACGCGCGCACUGGGCCACAUCUGGAUGGCCCCAGUCCACGGGUUCUGGAAGGAGGGCCAGGGGGCGACAUCGGAGGAGCCCUGGGAGGCGCCCUGCUUGGCGCUGCUGGGGAGGGGGCGCUGGCCGGCGUCGCCACCACUGCAGGAGUUGCCGCCCUUGGAGGUCCGGCCGCCGAAGUUGCGCUUGCUGCGACGAGGCUUGGAGGAGCCACUCCCGGAGCGGUGUUGCUGUGGGGGCUGGGGUGGCUGAGCCAAAUGCGUGGGGGUGCCUAAGCCAGCAGUGAGGAGAGCGGUGGAGUCUCGUGGUUGUUGAGAAACUGGGAUUCAACGGCAAGCCAGACGGAGCCGGCGGUGGCGCCGAGCGCCAUCAUGAUGCCGGCGAGGUCGUUGGAGAGGGUGCAGUAGAUCCAAGACCGGAUGACACAAUCCAUCCGCGCCCAAUCUGGAUGACCAGGGAGGGGACGGUCCUGAAGGAUGUGGGCGUCGAGGGAGAACUUCCCGACCAUGAGCAGGAACUGCUCGUGCCAGCAAGCAUAGUUGGUGGAGGUGACGUCAAGGACAAUCAGGACGAAGCUGUGGAUGUUCUGGACCGCAACAGCCUGGGCGUGUAGGUUCAGGAUGGCGGUGACCUUGUGGAGUAGCAUGGCGUCGUGGACGGAGGGGACGACACGGCUCUUGUGGUCGUCAUCAUCGUCGAGGUGGACACGGUUCUUGAAUCUGCUCAAUCCAGAACAAGGUUAUCCAAGUUUUUAGUAGAUAGAUUAGCACCAAUGAUCUAUUUAAUUGUGAUUGGCAUUAUAUUAAGUAGUGAAUACUUUUCCUGGACUUUGAUUUGAUGAUAGUUGAUGAAAAGUAACGUCAGUACAUAUCCACUCUAAGCUAAACAGCUACUUGCACGCAUAUGAAGAGUUAAAGAAUGAAGUGAGCAUAACAACACAUUCUAAGGCACUAAUCUGCUACCUCCACACUGACCCCACAUCAUAUCUCAAACUUAUCAAAGUUUAUGGGUGCAAUAGCUUGAUGCAAGAAAAUGAUAAAAUGAAUAGGAUAUGUACCUGCAGCGCUGUGCUGGAGUUAUUGACAUCUGCAUAAGCUCACCAGUAACAAGAUUAUUUACAGCAGUUGCUAGUAAUGAUACAACCUGCAGAAUUAAAAAUAAUUCCGGUAUCUUGACGUUAUGAACAUGCAAAAGAUACAGACUGGAAAGGAACUGACAUAAUCUGAUGUUGAAAGAAAUGGGCGAAGAUACAGAGUGACAUGGCAGCUCACAAGCUAAAAACUAAAGUGAUUUUGUUCUUUCAGUUGUAUUUUUUUAGCCCCCACUCAUAGUCUAUUUUAUCCUCGAUAGCAAUAUUCCCAACAAAGUCAAACAAAGAUGAAGGAAAAUAAUAUAACUUGUUAGCCUUUACAAAGGAGAAACAUCUCACCUCAGUAUUGUCAAGAGACACAGCUGCAGAAAAUGCCCUGAAAAGUAGGAAAUCGCCAGCCAAUACUGCAAGCUGCAGGGUAGCAUCAGCUUUACUAACUGUUAUAAGGUAUUGUGAAUAUGACACAAGAUAUAGUUUGACUUGCAUUUUGCCAAGUUUACAGCAUGGCUUGGCGUUGCUUCCUUUUAUUUCUUUUAGAAGAACACUAGUCCAUCAACCCGUGCUCCCGCACGGGCUAAUAUUUUCAGAAGCUAUUGUAUUUGAAAAUUAUUUAGAAAAAUUAAACUCCUAGCUAAUAAUCAAAAUUAUUUACCUACCACUCUCUUAUUUUUCAAUACUUAUAUAGAUAUAUGUAUCUAUCUUUGUCUAGUUGUGAUUGAUUUUUAAUUAAUAAUUACUCUAUGCACGUUUUCAUCCAUAUUCGUACUUUUUCCAUUUUGUAUCACACAUCCAAUCCUCCAUACAUUAUGUUUAGCAUACAAAUCAAUAUUUUUCAUCGAUUCCUCACAUACAUGUAUAAAUAGUCUAAAUGGUGGCACUCAUCAUGUGUAUAUACUUUAACUUAGUAUGUUUUAUAUUAAUAAUGACAUAAAUAGGUAAUUUAGAAUCAUAUAUUAGUUUACUUUUUGAUAUUUCUGUAUGAUGCACAUGAAGAUAAUUAGAUUAAUAUUUAGGUGUUUACUUUAGGUUAUUUUUAAUAACGACAUACAUGGGUAACAUAGAUAAAAUUUUAGAAUGACAUUUUAAGUUAUGCUUUAUAAUUAUGUGUAUUAGUAAAUUGGAUGAAGAUUUAUAGGGUUACUUUAGAUUAUUUUUUAUAAUAGCUAAGCUCAGUAAUUUAGAUAUAGGUUUAGAGCUCAUUUUUAAAUAUUUUCACAAUGACAGUGGUGGGUAACUUUUUAGAAAAUAUAAUAGAUCAAUGGCUAUGAUUAUUAGAGUUUACAGGAUUUGUGUUUGAUGUUUUUAACUUUUAUGAGAAUUUAUCUCUUUUUUCUAGCUUGUCUCGUGGGAACUAUUGUGGAGUCUCCAAUGGAGAAAAAAAUAAGACUACACUGCUACAAAACUAUUAUCAUAAGCUACCUCUCGUUUGUUAAAUAUUCGACCAUAAUAUUUAUGUAGAUAUAUAUUUAAUAUCUUCAUCCAAUUGUGAUCGAUUUUAGUUAGUAAUUACUCUAUAAUAUUUUCAACCGCAUUUAUAAUCUUUAACUUUUCACUUUGCAUCGCAGGUAUACGCCUGAAUUUAUUUAAUGAACCCUAAGUUUGAGAUACAAUUUUAGCAUAGAAAUCUAUAUUAUCAUCAUUUUAUAUCCUUAUAAAUGGUGACACACAUCAUGCGUAUAGACCUUAAUUGUUAUAUCGUAUACCAAUAGUGAAAGAUAUAGACAAUUUAGAAUCAUAUAUUGCUGUAUAUUUUUAAUUAAGGUUAUUUGAUUCAAAUGUAGGGUUACCUCAUGUUAUUUUUAAUAAUGGCAUAUGUGGGUAAUAUAGAUGCAAAUUUAAGGGUUUACUUUAAGUUUAAACUUAAGUAAUAGUGGUAGGCAAUUCAAUUGCAAAUUAGGGGGUUAUUUUAAAUAUUGUUUAUAAUGGCAUAAGUAGGUAAUUUGGAUGAAGAUUAGGAGGUUACUUUAGUUUAUUUUAUAUAAUGGCAAAGGUGGGUAAUUUAUAUAUAGAUUUAGGGGGUUACUUUAGGCUAUUUUCAUAAUAGCAUAGGUUGGUAAUUUUUUAGAAAACAUAAUAAAUCCAAUGGCUAUGAUGAUUUGAAUCUAUCGAUUGAUGGUUGGAUGUUUUGCUUUUUUUUAAGAAUUUCUCUCUUUUUCUAGAGUGUCCACAUAGGAAUCCUAGGUGGCUUCACCUGAAAGCUUUAAAAGGAGCCUCCAAUUAGUAACAGUAAGAUGGUCCAUACUUACGAGAUGAAGAUGUGCAAAAUAAACAGAUACAACUAUUAUCAUUAUUCAUUUUCAGAGGUAUCAAACAGAAAAAUGGGCUUACUUGCACAUUAAAUAAGAAAUUUUUUAUAUUUUGGUCUCUAAGAACUACGGGGAAAAAGGCUAAACCAAAAUACUUUAAUUGAGCUACUGAACAGCAACUCAUUGAUCUCCACAUGUUUAUAUGUCCAUAUUUAAGAAUACAACAUUAAAUUAAGAUCCCUUGAAUUUUCUUUUCCAUUAAAAUUUUAUGAUUUUUUUCUCGAACAACACAGGAUGAGCAAGCAAGCAGGCUCAAGGAUGUUGUAAGCCUCUACUGGCCCGUCUGUCAGCAAUCCAAAGUCUUUGUUUAAUAGCUAACCAAAUGAAAAAUUUACAGCAUAGGGGGGCCCAACUUCUCUAUAUUAUUUUCCAAGGAAUAAACUUAAUAGAUCCCACAAAAAAGGCCUCAUAUGCAGACUUACUGGAGUAUAAACCAGAUUGGGUCAGUUUCCAAAUGUAUUGGUCAGGAGUAUCUUGUUGCAGCUGGACACCAUCCAAUUGGUCCCAUAAUAAUAGGUACACCAUCACGACUUCCACAAUGAGUCGUCCCCUGAUAUCAGUGACCCACCGCCUAUUAGAGAGGGCCUGAGCGACAGUUCUAGUCUUGACAAUUCUUUUAGGGAUGGUUUGGAACCAGUUUGGAGCAGUUUCGGCUAUGGUUUUGCCCUCCAACCAUCUGUCUUUCCAAAAAAGAAUUGAUUCACCAUUACCUACUAUCAGCGUGCCACUUUGAAGACAAGUCAAAGUAGCCAUAUUAAACUAUUUGGCCCUAAAUAUACAAGUUAGCCAUUGUAGAAAAAGUAUAUGAUAUUACUUUCUUCCCCACUUUGAAGUUCAAUGAGUCCAUGGCACGCCUAGUAUCAGCAUCGUCCAAAACGUCAUCAUGAAUAAGGCUCGAUAUCUAAGAUGUAAGGGAGAAGACAAGUCACUAAAACAAAUAUUUCUGAAUGUUUCGGAAAGUGGAAUGAAACAAGAUGCCUAAGAUGCGUACAUGAAUCAUUUCAGUUAUCUCAGCAUGCAUACGCCUUCACCAUUGCAGAAACCAUGCACGAGCUGCGGCUUCUCCAGAUGGGAGGCAACCGCCUGACCGACAAAGGCGUCUAUGCUAUCCUGAAGGGCUGCCCUCGUCUCAAGUUCUUUGACAUCUCCGAAUGUUACAAUGUUAGCAAUGAACUCCGUGCUCGCUGCACCAAGAUUAAACAUGUUUGGUUGCCUGGACAACGGCCUAUUGUCCUGGACAACGGCCUAUUGUCCAGGGGCGGAGCUACAGGGUAUGCUGCAUAUGCUGCAGCAUACCUUGUUUUUCCACCAAGGUAAUUACUAUACAUACAUAUUUUAUAUAAAGAAAAAAGAAAAUGGAAGCGAGAGAGCAGGUUGCAGGACAGCAGAGGAGGCCGACUCGUGCAGACUUGCGAUUCCACCGUCAGGCCCACGCGGCCCACACGGAUUGCGACCUCCUCACGCAACGGACUCCAGGUCUCCAGCACACGGCAGUUCGGCUUUGUCUCUUCGUGCGGCUUGCGGCGCGGCGUACAGCGUGCCCUACCCGGAAUCUGCAGACCGCCGACUGCUGAGACGGAGAGAUGAGACGGAGACGCCAUCACACGACGGCAAUACUACUUAGUCGAUUGCCAGCCGGAAGCAGGCAGCAGCGAGCCAGCGGCCAGUCCAGGCAUCCAGCAGCAGCCAGCAGGGCGCAGGCCAAUAAUCGUUCAAGAUCUCGAGAAACACUGGCAUCUGGUGAAUUAUUUGUUCUACGUUCUUUGGCUUUUAUAAAAACAUCUUUAUUCAUGUAUGAUUUAAUUACUAAUUGCUUAGCCCUAAAUUAUAGAUUCAUCUAGCACGCAACAAGGUGGAGGAUUUUACCCUACAGAAAAGUCGAUCUAGAUUGAUCUUUUGUUCUGGACUCGUAUCAUGUGAGUGAUCCAUAAUCACUUGUGUCAGUUCAAUCGUGUACAAGCACAAUUUAUUUAAUUGUUUGGUGUUGUGUUCUUUGUAAUAUUUAAACAGUUAUGAAGAGAGACGGGAACAUUGCAUCUCUUUUUCAGAAGCAUGAAGCAAAGAGGAAGGCAGCAGCAGCUGCUGCUACUUCUAAUCGUUCUUCUGAUCCGGUUGUACCUGUGGUGGAAGAGCAAACUCGUGAGAGAGUAGUUGAGGAAAUUGAAACUCAUAUCCUAGCGCCACCACCACCGCCCCCACCGCAGCCGUCUUCUGUGCCACCAGUUUAUGACAUCAAUCGCCUUCCACAAGAUCCAGGUGAAAGACGUCCCAUUCUUAGUUAUCCUACUAAUGAUCAAGAUGCAAUUCGAAGAGCAUAUAUUACUAAAGGUCCAUUCAAGCCUUUUGCACAUGAUUUUCCGAAAACAAAGAUUUCAGGAAUAAAUCGUCAAUUCAAUUAUUGUUGGAUGUACAAUCAUGAAUGGAUUGAAUAUAGUAUUAAAAAGGAUGCUGUAUUUUGCUUUAUAUGCUACUUGUUCAAGAAGGGCACAGGGUCAGAGGCAUUUACUGUUGAUGGCUGGAAUAAUUGGAAUAUAGGAGAGAAGGCACUUCUCAAACAUUUGGGUUCCAAGUCACAUAUCGCAGCUCAAGAGAGAUAUAUUGGCUUUACAAAUCCCAAGGUAGCAAUUGAUUAUAAUAUUCAGAAGUAGAGUGAUGAGGAUCUUCGACUUUAUAAGAAAAGGUUGACUUAUUCACUUAGGUGUAUCAAGUUUCUUUUGCAUCAAGGGUUGGCGUUUCGUGGACAUGAUGAAAGUAAAGAAUCUAGCAACAGAGGGAACUUCAUUGAACUUUUGAAAUUUCUUGGCGGAAAUAGUGAAGAAGUGAAUAAGUAUGUUUUGGAGAAUGCUCCAGGUAACUGUACCUUAACUAGCCCAGACAUACAAAGCCCUUGUUUACUUUGCGAAUUUGGGAGGUGCCAAAUUACUGUAGCAACACUGUAGCGUUUCGUUUGUAUUUGUGAAUUAUUGUCCAAAUAUUGACUAAUUAGGCUCAAAAGAUUCGUCUCGCAAAGUACAAUAAAACUGUGCAAUUAGUUUUUGAUUUCGUCUACAUUUAGUACUCCAUGCAUGUACCGCAAGUUUGAUGUGAUGGGGAAUCUUCUUUUUGCAUAGUGCCAAAGUUGGGAGUUUUGUAGGAAGUGAACAAGGGCAAAAGCAAAUUAUUCACUGCUGUGCCCUAGAAACUAGAAAGAAAAUAAUUGAAGAACUUGGUGAUGAGCCUUAUGCAAUUUUAGCUGAUGAGUCUAGUGAUAUAUCACAUAAAGAACAACUAGCUCUUUGCUUGCGUUAUGUUGAUAAAUUGGGAAGGCCAUGUGAGCAUUUUAUUGGAGUUGUUCAUGUAGAUGAUACUACCUCUUUAUCACUGAAGAAUGCAAUUGAAGCUUUACUUUUAAGUCAUGGCUUGAGUUUGACUCAAAUCCGUGGUCAAGGAUAUGAUGGGGCUAGCAACAUGAAAGGAGAUAUUAAAGGGUUGAAAACAUUGAUCAUGCAAGAAUCACCUUCUGCUUAUUAUAUUUAUUGUUUUGCUCAUCAACUCCAAUUGGUUCUUGUUGCUGUUGCUAAAGGAAAUACUGAUUGUAGCUUCUUUUUUGAUCAAGUAUCUAUCUUGUUGAAUAUUGUUGGAGUUUCUUGUAAGCGCCAUGACAUGCUUAGAAAUGCAAGGCUUGAGAAUGUCAAGAAAGCACUUGACUGUGGUGAAAUUGAAUCUGGAACUGGAUUACAUCAAGAGAUGGGUUUGCCUAGACCUGGAGAUACUCGAUGGGGAUCUCAUUACAAAACCAUAUGCAGCAUCAUUACUAUGUAUGAAUCAAUCCACGAUGUACUGGUUGAUCUUGGGGAUGAUUCGACAUAUAAGGAUGAUUGGACCAAAAUACAUUUUGUGACGGGAGCAUUUGAGACCUUUGAGUUUGUUUUCUUUGCACACUUAAUGUAUAUUAUUCUUGGAUACACAAAUGAGUUAUCUGAGUGUUUGCAAAGAAGGGAGCAAGACAUUCUUAAUGCAGUAUCACUUGUUAAUGUGGCAAAGAAAAGAAUGCAAGAAUUGAGGUCAAAUGGCUGGGAUAAUUUUCUUGAGAGGGUCACCUCGUUUUGUGAUAAACAUGGUGUUGAUGUUCCUGCUAUGGAUGGUGAUUAUGUUCCUUAUGGAAAAUCAGCAAGGAAAUCUCGUGCUCGAAAGCAAACCAAUGAUGACCACUUUAGAAGAGAAGUAUAUAUUGGCGUCAUUGAUCAAAUAAGUCAAGAACUUGAUAAUCGGUUUGAUGAGAUUAACAUGGAGUUGAUGUCUUGUAUGGCAGCCUUCAAUCCUUCUAAUUCAUUUAAGUCUUUUGAUGCACAGAAGCUACGCAGACUAGCUAAGUUCUACCCAAAGGACUUCUCAAAUAAUAAUUUGCUCAGACUUGAAUUGCAGCUAGAUAAUUAUAUUGAUGACAUCAGGAAGGAUGAUAGAUUCAAAGGUCUAGACAAUAUUGUUGACCUCUCAUUUAAGCUUGUCCAAACAAAGAGGCAUAAAGUGUAUGAUAUGGUCUAUGAGCUUCUUAAAUUGGUAUUGCUUCUACCUGUGGCAACAGCAAGUGUUGAAAGGGUGUUUUCUGCAAUGGUUUUAGUGAAAACAAAGUUACGAAAUAAGAUGGGAGAUAGUCUUUUGGAUGAUUGUCUAGUCACUUUUAUUGAGCGAGAUAUUUUCUUUGAAGUUGAUGAAGAUGAUAUAAUUGAGUUAUUUAUGUCCCUUCGGAAGCGUCGAAUAAAAACGUCAUUAUAGUAACGUUGUAAGUCUCUGGUACUCUAUGCAUAUAUUUCAAUUAUCAGUUUGGCUUUGAAACUAUUUAUAUUGUAUUUAAUGGAUAUGGUUUCUACUUUAUCCAUGAAUUUAAACCUUAUUACCGAAUUGGUAAAUGGAUUUACCGAAUUGUGUAUCAUUUUUUUGGAUGCAUACCUUGACCUAAAAUCCUAGAUUCGCCACUGCUAUUGUUCUCUGCCCUGAUCAUCGUGUGACUGGAGAGAACGAAGGCAACAAUAAUGGGCUUAUGCUGCAUGAUCUCUGGGAAGCUGAAAUUCAACCUCUUCGUGGAGAGGCGGCAAUGGAUGAUGAUGCCUAUGAUGACAACUACUGGGAGGACUACUGGUCCCCUCUGUUUAUGCGCCCCAAGUUGCACAAUGUGACCUGUGAUGACUGGUGACACCAAGAUUUUACUUACAUCCAUAAUUAUCUGCGAUCAUUUCACCUCUGAAUGCUACAAUGUUGGGUUACGACCUCUGAAUGUUAUAAUCAUCUGCACCAAGAUUAAACAUGUCUGGUUGCCUGGACAAUGGCCUACUGUCCUCUGCUCUGGUCGUCGUGUAUCUGGAAAGAAAGAAGGCAAUGGCGUUGGGCUUAUGCUUCAGGGCCUUCGGGAAGCUGAGGUUUAACCUCUACUAUGGAGACUGGGCAUAGAUGUCUGGAUGACAAGACCUGUGUGUUGACAGCUAACUACUGGUCCCGUCUCGUAUCUGUGCCCAGAGUCGUGCAAUGUGACCUGUGAUGACACCAAAAUCUUUUUUACUUGCAUCCAUUACUGAUAGUCUCUGAUCAAUUCAUCUCUUUUUCAUAAAUACGCAGGUGAGCUGCGUAUCUUUGUAUUAAGCAGGAGAAAAUGUAUAGAACGUUAGCCCGCGCGCUUGCACACGAUUUUGUGAUACAUAAUCGAGAUUACAUGACAAACGCAAACCCCCAGAAAGAAAAAGAAAGACUUGCCGACUGUGUCAGGUUAUAAGCAGUCCUCCCGACGCCGACCGCGCGUUGAGGCCGCGCAUGAUCAAUUCGUCUCAAGUCCUAUACUGAAUAAUGAGGGGUUUGCGGAAGUCGUAAGUCGCCGCCGUAGUCUUGAAGUUUGCAGUUUGUAAAUCUGGUCUAUGUAUGAUACAUGUGUAGUUUGGAGCACUUCAGGUGUGGCUUAACGGCCAGCACUCAGUUAUAAAGUGCAGCAACAUUGUAUUUGCUGUUCUAGUCUGUAGUUCGGCCCAAAGCAGUGCUCUGUUUCCUGGGGGUGAGGCUGACUAUUUACAUGUGUAGUUUGGAGCAGUUCUGAGACCACACUAGACAAGUUAAACCCAAAUUUUUGGAGCAUGUUACUGGAAACAAAGAAAAGUACACUUUCAAUACGAACUGUCUUACUCCAUUUUACAGCUUAAAUGACGAAUAGUUAAAGAAUCAACUGAACGUAACAGCAUAUUGUAAGGCACUAAUCUGAUACCUCCACACCGUCACCCCACAUCAUACCUCAAACUUAUUCAAGUUUAUUAUGAGUAUAGUAUCUUUACAUCAGUACGUAUAAAAACUCCAGCACUAGAGAACAGCAUAAUGCAAGAAAGUAAGAAACGGAAUUCCUAACUAUCACUCAAGUAAAAUUCUGCUAUGCGCGUGAAUCCUUUUUUUUUUGUCUUUUCUUUUUUUAGAGGCGUGAAUCGAUUUUUUCGGUCCGAUCUGUUGUUCUUGUGCGCCCGUUCGAGCCUCUUCUACGGCCCAGUUUUGCAACGCUCUUCACGGAUGCCAACCCAGUUAUUUUCAGCCUGCCACUCGGGCUUUUCUUCACGUGGACUAUAAUAGUCACGUCAUGCCUCUAAAAUAACAGAAAACUAUAACUUCUACAAGCUUUUUUUUUAGCAUAACUCCCAGUAUUUAAGAUCCGUGCUAUAGUAUAUUGAUAGGAUGGUUAAGAUAAGGUGGGGGAGCAAUCGAACCAUACAUAAAUACCUCGUGACAUGUUGAACCACGGUCUGUAGAUUGUUGAAUUAGUUGUACGAAUUAGUGACUAAGAGGAUCUGGACUACCAGUUGUACGAAAUCCUUGUCAAACUUCUAUCACGAGCAAAAGCUGAAGAUACAGAUGCCGUGGUAACUAAAUUUGGAACAAUGCUUUCAUGCUUCUUGUCAGGAAACAGUUUCCCAUGUGUAGACCCUACAACCAUGCAUGGUGGUUCAAAGAACAAUGCCAAUAUACCUGUGCUCAACAAACAUGUGCUGAGCAUCCUCUUCCUCCCUGCGCCUAAUGACAUACUUCUACAACAGGCUGCACCGAGGAUUAUUAGUUAAAGAGAUGUAACUUAAGCCAUGUUUGACCACUGAUCCAUGGAUCCACCUCCAUUGCGCAAAUUGUUGAAUGCGUAGCCAUCUUGAGUUAUUUUUUUAUGCUUAUUUUAUUCUGCACGCUGCUUAUUUUAUUAUUAAAAGUGAUCGGUCUGCCGGUAGUCGGCAGCGAUGGCUUUGCCGAUCCCGUUCGUAUGUAAGAAUUGGUAUUGAAACCAGUCACCCGUGCUACUUUGUGGGACGAUGGGUAUGGCAGAAAUUAAAAUGUAAGAGUGCCAAUUUAGUUUCAUCCAUGGCUAUGAGCCUUCCUGCAGUGCUGGACUGCUGGUUGACUCAACUGGAAGGGGGCCGUAUUUUUGUCCAGAAUGCAUUUGCAAAGGUGACUGCUUGGGUUUAGUAGUUUCGUAAUCGAUGUAUUGAUAGGAGAGCCAGGAGGGACGACAUAUGUUUGGGGUAGCAGCAUAUCUAAUCAGAGUCAUCUACGUUCACGCGUUCAUACCGGAUCGGAGACGCGACGGGAAAGUCGGAUCAAACUUGGUUAGAAGUGGAGGUGGGGUCCACAUGUCAAUAAUUGAAGUUGGACCAAAUCAAAAAAUUUAGGCAGAAGCAUUGCUUUUAUGUAAGAUUGAAUCAAUAAACCUCGCCAUGAUGGCUUUCCCACGGAAAAAGAAUGAUAUAAUUUUUUGUGUGUGCCUUAUAAUAAAUAGUACAUAGAGAAAAAUAUAUUAAUAUGGAAAAUUGUCGGAUUAGGCCACAUUGUUGCGUUAAAGUUUCUUUUAGAAAAAUACAUGGGUGUCUGGCAGCACUCCCCUCCAAAAAACAGUUCCACUUCACUAGCUCCACAAAAUUGCCUGACAAACACGUUCAGCUCCACAAACUCCAGCUCCAGAAAAAACGUGAAGCUAGGGGUCAGAUCCACAUUUUUCCUGGAGUACCUUAGGGGUGCUCCAAAAACAUCAAUUUCAGACUUUCUUGUGAAGUUGGGUAUUAUUUACCCACCUUUGCCACUCGUUACACAACACCUAAUUUUUCCUUUCUGCUCACUAUCUUCGUUUCCUCCCUCUAUUCAUCCCCUGCCAGCACCGCGCCGCCCUCGCCAGUCGGCGCUACGCUGCCCACGCGGCCCUCGCCUAACGGAGCUGCGCUAGUGCGCUACCGACGCCACCGUCACCCUCCGGAGCUGCACCGCCCUCGCCCUCCUCGGCCGCGGCCACGCUGCCCCUGCUCGCCGCCCCUGCCCACGUCGGUCGCAUGGCCCCUGCUCGUCGGACCUCGCCGCCCCCACCCACUGGGGCCGCGGGGUUGCGCCCUCUUGCUGGCCGGAGCUGCGCCGCCAUCAUUGCCGCCGGAGAGGACGAGGCGGCGGUGCUGCUCGCCUUCAGGCGGGCGUUGGUGGUGGACGACCCGCGCGGCGCACUUGCUGGCUGAGCCCACGCGAACUCCACUGCGACGCUAUGCUUGUGGGCUGGCAUCUCAUGCGCGUCGCCGCCCGACAGCCGUGUCGUCACCCUCAACCUCAACGGCAUGGCACCCACCUGCUAGCUCUGGCCCGACGACGCUCCCCGUGGCUGGCUGCUGCUAGCCGGCCGCAGGGGCGCCGGGGCUGCAGGCACUGCCGACGCUGCUGCUGCUAGCCGACCACGGGGCGCCGGGCUGCAACAGGUCUAGAGAGGACGGCGGCGGUGGCGGGGACAAGGCGCUGCCCUUGGCGUGGAGCUCAGGAUCUGAAAAAGAGAAAGGGGCGAAGAGGAAGGGAGAACAUAGAAGAGGCUGACACAUGGAUCCAUUUACAAAGGGUAAAAUAGGCUAUUCACAACAAGUCUUCAUGUUUGUGGAGCUACGGCACUGCGAUCGGCCAAACACAUACAACAACUCUAGUAUUUUUGUGGAGUUGGUGGAGUGGAGCUUAGGUGGAGUAGAGUUGGUGGAGUGGAGUUAUAAAAUUUUUAGUGGAGUGUUGCCAAACACCCGAGUAUGAAUCCAAAUCUGAGAACAAUCGUGACACGAAAGAGAAAGGAAGGAAUUGUUAUUUGAACGUUCUAUAAUAACAUAUUAAAAUAUAAUUAAAAGAAAAUAAAUGGAAAAAGGAGCGGUCAACCGUGGAGCCCUUCGUUCGGUCGUUCCUAGCAUCGGGUCCAUCGCGUGGACUCGGCCUUUUCUUCACGUGGACUCUAAUAGUCACGUCAUGUCUCUAAAAUAAUGGAAACCUAUAACUUCUACAAGCUUUUUUCUUCCGUAGAUUGUUGAAUUAGUUGUAUGAAAAUGUUGAAACAGGCAGCAGCCAGUCGGACUACCAAGCAGCCUGCCGCCUCCAGCGCAUAUGCCUGUGGCCUGACUAAGAGGAUCUCGACUACGAGUAUUCGUAUAAAGAAACUGCGCAUAUGCUGGCAGUCCGUGAGAUAGGAGAGAGCAUGAGAGAGAUGACGGAUGGGAAAAAGAAGGUGAGCGAACAGUAUGUGGAUGGAGGUCCGGCAAACGUUGGAGAAGAUGCGGCGCUAAUCUACUGAGACCCCACAGCUCGAAAUUGCUACAGAGAUGUCCUUCUGACGUGCCACUAUGGACACCGUGGGUUGGGACGUCUACGCGGCAGUGCAGUGCAGCUGGUCAGUUUUGGAGGCUGGCGACGCAGCACGGUCACCGAACUUUCAUCCAACUGGAUGUUGGAGGAUGACCCGUGGAUAUGGUCGUCAACAAAGUUGGAAGAAGACCUCAUUGACUCAGUGACUUGGAAAUUAAGGCAACAACUAUGCGGACAGCCAUGGAGCACCAUUGACUUAGUGACUUGGAAGAAGACCUCAUUGACUUCUUAGUGACUUGGAAAUUAGGCUAAGUUGGAAGAAGACCUCAUUGACUUGGUGACUUGGAAAUUAGAGACUUGCGAGAUUGAAUCGGCAUUUUAAAUAGCCUUGUUAUUACUCGCUGCAUCAAGGAGCACAGAGCCAAGCUACGCUGACAGCCAUGGAGCACCAUUGCUCCAUCCUACUCGUGGCCUCCCUCCUCCUGCUUGCAUCUCCAGCAUGGACAUCGGCCUCCGCGGGAAGUGACGGCACCGGCGCUGACCACCGUGCGCUCAUGCAGUUCCGGUCCCUCAUCACGGACGACCCAUACGGGGCCUUGGCAUCAUGGGGCGCCGGCAACAUGACCGCGUCGGCGCCGUGCGGGUGGCACGGCGUCACGUGCGGGGUGCGCGGGCACCGCCGCGGCCGCGUGACAGCGCUGGACCUCCGCGGGCUCGGCCUGGCCAGCUCCGGCGCCGCUGCUCCUUCAUCCCUCUCGGGCCUCACCUACCUCCGGCGACUCGACCUCGCCAGGAACCGCCUCGGCGGCGGCGUGCCCUCCCCGUUGCCGCCCUCCCUCGAGCACCUCAAUCUCAGCCAUAAUGCGCUGCAGGGGCCAGUGCCCCCAGCGCUGGGGUCACUGCACCGCCUCCAGGAGCUCAGUCUCGCCUACAACAACCUCACCGGAGCAAUCCCUGCCUCCCUUGGCAACCUCACCUCCCUCACCAUCCUCAGCCUCAGCAAGAACAACCUCACCGGAGCAAUACCUGCCUCCCUUGGCAACCUCACCUCCCUCACCAUCCUCAGCCUCAGCAAGAACAACCUCACCGGAGCAAUCCCUGCCUCCCUUGGCAACCUCACCUCCCUCACCAUCCUCAGCCUCAGCAAGAACAACCUCACCGGAGCAAUACCUGCCUCCCUUGGCAAGCUCACCUCCCUCACCAUCCUCAGCCUCACCAGCAACAACCUCGCCGGCGCCAUCCCUGGCGCUCUCGGCAACCUCGAAGCUCUCACCGGCCUCUACCUCGCCCACAACAACCUCACCGAAGCAAUCCCUACCUCCCUUGGCAACCUCACCUCCCUCACCAUCCUCAGCCUCACCAGCAACAACCUCGCCGGCGCCAUCCCUAGCGCUCUCGGCAACCUCAAAGCUCUCACCGGCCUCUACCUCAGCGGCAACAUGCUCCAAGGAUCCAUACCUUCCGCCGUGUUUAACAUCUCCUCUCUCCACGAACUUGUCGUGCAGUCCAACAACCUCACCGGGACUCUGCCCCCGAACGCCGGUGGCAGGCUGCCCAGACUCACGUGGUUCCUCGUUGACCACAACCGGCUACACGGUGCCAUCCCGCCGUCGCUCUGCAACCUCACCUCCCUCACCAUCCUCAGCCUUAGCAACAACAACCUCACCGACGCCAUCCCUGGCGCUCUCGGCAACCUCAAAGCUCUCACCGGCCUCUACCUCGACCACAACAACCUCACCGAAGCAAUCCCUGCCUCCCUUGGCAACCUCACCUCCCUCACCAUCCUCAGCCUCACCAGCAACAACCUCGCCGGCGCCAUCCCUAGCGCUCUCGGCAACCUCAAAGCUCUCACCGGCCUCUACCUCGGCGGCAACAUGCUCCAAGGAUCCAUACCUUCCGCCGUGUUUAACAUCUCCUCUCUCCAGAAACUUGUCGUGCAGUUCAACAACCUCACCGGGACUCUGCCCCCGAAUGGCAGGCUGCCCAGACUAACGUGGUUCGUCAUUGACUACAACCGGCUACACGGUGCCAUCCCGCCGUCGCUCUGCAACGCCUCCAAGCUGGAGGUGGCAGAGAUGUCAGAUAAUUCCUUCUCCGGAGUCAUACCGGACUGCCUUGGAACUCACCUCAAGAACUUGUGGUCACUGCUACUGGACUCCAACCGGCUGGAAGCAAAUGUUGAUGCUGACUGGGGAUUCAUGGAUAGUCUGACCAACUGCAGCAAUCUGAAGUCCAUUGGCCUGGCUGAAAACAAGCUGGGAGGUGUGCUUCCUGGCUCGAUCGCAAACCUUUCGACGAGCAUGGAGCGCUUGAGCAUGUGGGGCAACAUGGUAAGCGGGCAAAUACCUCAGGAAAUCGGCAACCUUGUCAACUUGAACAUCGUUGCUAUGCAUCUCAAUAACCUUACUGGUAUUAUCCCUACCUCAAUUGGCAAACUUAACAAGCUGAGCAACCUUGCCUUGUCCGGCAACAAGCUAUCAGGGCAAAUCCCACCAACAAUUGGCAAUCUCACCGUGCUCACCAAACUAUCCCUUGAUGACAACAUGCUCACGGGUCCCAUUCCUUCCAGUCUUGGUAGUUGCCCUUUGGAGGCGCUGUCCCUGGAGCACAAUCGCCUUACUGGUCCAAUACCAAAAGAAGUUCUCCUCAUAUCCACGCUUUCCGACUACGCGAGUUUCAAAGGGAACAUGCUAACUGGAUCGUUGCCAUCGGAAGUUGGUCACCUGAAAAAUCUUGUGACCCUUGAUGUGUCUGGAAAUAGGUUAACCGGGGAAAUCCCCAACUCUCUUGGCGAUUGCCAAAUCUUACAGUAUUGCUUUAUGAAAGGGAACAUGUUUCAAGGGAAAAUUCCAGAGUCAUUGGGACAACUGAAGGGCCUCUUGGUUCUUGAUCUUUCAAGCAACAACUUGUCUGGUCAUAUUCCAGACUUCUUUGGUAACGUGAAAGGUCUUCAACAACUGAAUAUCUCCUUCAAUAACUUUGAUGGUGAAGUCCCAAAGCAAGGAAUAUUUCUUAACGCCAGCGCGUUUUCAGUCGAGGGAAACUCUGGCCUCUGUGGAGGUAUUGCUCAGCUGAAAUUGCCACCUUGCUCAGAUAAUGGCAGCACUAGCAGCAAUAAGCGAUCACACAAACUUGUCAUGGUAGUCUCCAUCGCCACUGCCUUUCUAGGAAUCUCCUUGCUCCUUGCACUAUCUGUAUUAUGUCAUCAAAGAAGGAAGUUGAUAAAGGCAGAACAUGCCUUACCACUCAUCAAUGAUCAGUAUGCAAGGGUUUCAUAUGUCAACUUGAUGAAUGCAACAAAUAGUUUUGCUGCUGAAAACCUCAUAGGCAUUGGAAGCUUCGGCUCUGUUUACAAGGGAACAAUGAUAAGCCAUGACCAAGAAGUUUUUGUCGCUGUGAAGGUGCUCAACCUUCAGCAGCGAGGGGCGUCACAAAGUUUCAUUGCAGAAUGUGAGACUCUGAGAUGUGCUCGACAUCGGAACCUUGUGAAAAUCUUGACGGUGUGUUCAAGUAUUGAUUCCGGUGGCCUUGAUUUCAAAGCUAUUGUAUUUGAUUUCCUACCAAAUGGAAAUCUAGACCAGUGGCUACACCACCGUCUCAGGGAACAUGGCACCCAUAGUAGGAUUGAUCUUGUCCAACGGAUAGACAUUGCCAUUCAUGUCGCUUCUGCACUCGAAUAUCUUCACCACUAUAAACCAACCCCGAUAGUUCAUUGUGAUCUCAAGCCAAGCAAUAUUCUCCUUGACAAUGACAUGGUUGCCCAUGUUGGUGAUUUUGGGCUCGCAAGAUUUGUGCAUCAAGACCAGACUAACCCCUCAGAUAUAUCAAGUGGUUGGGCUACAAGAAGGGGAACCAUUGGAUAUGCUCCUCCAGGUCAGGUUCUAACAAGUACACUGCAUUUUACUUUCAUUUAACAUUGUAGCUGUAGCAUUGCUGAUAGUCUUCAUUCAGUUGCUGAAUAUGUGUGUUCCAAACAGAGUAUGGACUGGGUAACGAAGUCUCAAUCUAUGGUGACAUGUACAGCUUCGGACUACUAUUGUUGGAAAUUUUCACAGGAAAAAGACCAACAGAUAGCGACUUCGUGCAAGACCUCAACCUUCAUAGGUACGUGCAAAUAGCACUGCAAGAUCAGCAAGUCACCAGUGUGGUAGAUCAACAGUUACUGCCAGUACAAGAUCCGGAACUCGAAGGGAGAACAAGCAGCUCCAGUAGCACCAGAGAAAUGAUAGUUGCCUGUGUUACUUCACUUCUGCAGAUCGGAAUUCUGUGCUCGAAGGAACUUCCAAAAGACCGCUUGCUGAUUGGUGAUGCCUUGAGAGAGCUUCACAGAAUCAAAGACAAUUAUAACCAGUUGCACUUAUUAAGUACGUAGAACUUUCUGAAACACAGGAUUUCCAUAUCCAGAACCAUUUUACAGUAUUCCGUGAUCAGAACAGAUACCAGGUCCUUGACUGCACUCAACCAAGUGCUGUGCUUUUUACUUUUAAAAAGACAUGAAAGCUUAGGAUUGACGUUGCAUACACAAUGGACGCCAGUAUCGCAUCCACCUGCACAUCAGGGUCUAGAGUACGUUGUUAGAUUAUCUUAAUAUAUGAUGUGGCCCAUGUAAUUAAAGAGAAUGAUUUUCAUAUGAAAAGAUCGCAGUGUGUGUUUCUUUGAAGAUCUAUGAAUGUUUUACUCCAAUUAUUCAGAGAUACGUUGUUUUGCUUUCUACAUACUAAUACAUACUCAUAAGGCAACUUUUUGCAUCCAACUUCUACUUUGGCAUUAUGCGGUUAUGCCUGUCAUCAUGCAAUCUGCAGAAAUAGAUGAAUGGUAUAAAUGGAGGGAAAAGAGAGGUAAAGCUCUUGUUCCAAACCUGAUGAAGUUCUCAUCAGUCACCCAUAAUAAACUGUUCAGCAACAAAAACAUGCAUGAUGCAUUGUUAUAUUUUUAAAAGAAAUGAUGCAUCAUUAUGGAUUCUACUGCCUGCUGGCAUGUUUAACCAAUACUACAUUUUCUGCUUCACCAAUUCACUUUGUUCUUCUCAUGAACUUUUGAGUAAGAUCUUUGAGCGCUUGCCUUGAGUUAAGCACAACUUGAUCCUCACUAUCAGGAAGAUCAUCGAUAGCGCUUGUCGAAGGAUUUGGGGACAAUUCAACUCAGGAGUAUUUCCUCUCCUGGUGCCUUUUCUUAUCACCACUCUUUUACAUUUUAACCCUACAUAUAUAUCUACACACACCAACACUCCCCCUCAAGAUGGGCAGUAUAUAUCUAUCAUGCCCAUCUUGUCACACGAAGACACACACUCCUUAACACUCAACCCUUUUGUUAGACAAUCAGCAAUUUGUCCCUUAGAAGUUACAAACCCUAGACUUAAAGUUCUAUCAUCAAUCCUUUCUCUAAUAAAGAAGCGGUUGAUCUCCACAUGUUUGGUUUGAUCAUGUUGAACUGGAUUGUUGGCAAUGUUAAUAGCUGAUUUGUUAUCACACGAAAGCUUCAUAGGCCUGCCCUCCUGGAGUUUUAACUCAGUUAGAAGAUUUUUUCCCACAAUAGUUCACUCAGACUCUAUGACAUAGCCCUAUACUCAGCUUCUGCAGUGGAGCGUGAUACAACAGGUUGUUUCUUGCUUCUCCAAGUCACCAAGUUACCACCAACAAAUACACAAUAGCCUGAAGUUGAUCUUCUGUCAUCAGGGCAACUUGCCCAAUCUACAUCACAAUAACCUUCCACAUUCAGAUGUCCAUUUUUUUUGAACAACAAAUCUUUGCCUGGAUUCUUCUUUAAAUAUCUCAAGAUUCUAUAGACUGCAUCCAUGUGAUCACUCCUUGGGUCAUGCAUGUAUCUGCUUACUACACUCACAGCAUAUGUUAUAUCAGGUCUUGUAUGACAUAGAUAGAUGAGGCGCCCCACAAGUCUUUGAUAUCUCUCCUUAUCUACAGGAUGUCCAGAUUCAGCAUCCAAUUUGUGGUUUUGCUCUAUUGGUGUAGUGACUGAAUGACACCCAAGCAUACCUAUCUCAUCCAGUAGAUCCAGAACAUAUUUCCGUUGUGAGAGCACAAUCCCUCUAGGAGAUCUUACUACUUCAAUCCCUAGAAAAUAUCGAAGUUGUCCCAAAUCUUUAAUUUCAAAUUCCCUUCUCAAAUUCUCCUUCAAUCUCACCACCUCCAAAGUAUCAUCUCCAGUGAUAAUAAUAUUAUCAACAUAGACAGCUAGGAUGGUUAUGUGAUUUUUGGAACAUAGAUAGAACAGAGUAUGAUCACCAUUACACUGCUUAUAUCCCAUAGCAAGCAUUGCACGUUUAAACCUAUCAAACCACGCUCUUGGCGAUUGUUUUAGUCCAUAUAAAGAUUUUUUCAAUCUUAGCACCAUACCUUCUGUUUCAGUAGUAGUGAAUCCAGGUGGGAUCUCCAUAUAAACCUCCUCUUUAAGAUCACCAUGAAGGAAUGCAUUUUUAACAUCUAAUUGAUAUAAUGGCCAAUCAGAUUUAGCAGCACAGGAAAUCAAGGUCCUCACGGUACUCAUUUUUGCAACCGGUGCAAAUGUCUCAUCAUAGUCAAUCCCAUAUGUCUGGCUGUACCCUUUUGCUACCAGCCUUGCCUUAUAUCUCUCCACUUUUCCUUCAGGGUUUUGUUUCACAGUAUAUACCCAUUUACAGUCAACCACCUUCUUCCCAGGAGGAGAAGGUAUGAGCUCCCAUGUGUCAUUUUUCUCAAGUGCUGCCAAUUCUUCAAGCAUUGCCUUUUUCCAUUUUGGAUCUUGCUUUGUUUCUUUCCAGUUUUUUGGAAUUUGUACAGAUUGCAAGGUUGUCAUAAAUGCUCAGUACUCAGAUGGUAAUGACCCAUAUGACACAUAAUUACUUACCUCAUUGCUAUGCUCACCUUCACAAUUAUCUUCAAAGCCAUAUCUCACUGGAGGUUUACCUGUAGUGCUCCUUGCUUCUCUUCUUAGAGCAAUAGGUAAGUCAUUCAAGUGAUCCCUUAUCUCUCCCCCUGACUCAGACAACUAGUCAUUCUCAUUAUCACCUGAGUGAACUUGGUCACUUUCAACUUCAUCAACAAUAGUGGUGGGUUGUAUGGGAUUUUCUCUCCUUCUUCUCGUAUAUACUCGUAGAUUCCUCUCUGUAGGAGACUGUUGUACUCUCCCUUCCUGUAUAGUGUCAUUCACUUUAACUGAAUUUGGUAUUAGACCAACCAUAACUCUCUUCUCAUUUGCUUGUGUCUCAACUCUACACUCCAUUUGCUCACUAUCUUCUGAUCCAAUUGGAGGGUCUAAAUCAAUGAAUAAAGAACUUAAAUCAGUCUUCUCACCAUAGAAAGGAACUGAUUCCCUAAAAGUCACAUCCAUACUUACAAACAUAUGAUGCUCAGAUGGGCUCCAACACUUAUAUCCUUUUUGUCCUGAUGAGUAUCCCACAAAAAUACACUUGAUAGCUUGAGAAUCUAGCUUUCCAACCCCCGGUCUAUGAUCUCUAACAAAACAUGUGCAUCCAAAGAUUUUGGGUGGAACCAAGAACUCAUUUUUUCCAAAUAACGUUUCACAAGGAGAUUUCAUGCCAAGUAUCCUUGAUGGCAUACGGUUUAUCAAGUGAAUAGCAGUCAAGACUGCCUCACUCCAAAGGAACUUAGGCACAUUCAUUGUAUACAUAAGUGAACGAGUUACCUCCAGAAGAUGCCUAUUCUUCCUUUCAGCCACUUCAUUUUGUGGUGGGGUAUCAGGGCAUGAAGUCUGGUGUAGAAUUCCUUCUCUUGAAAGGAAAUCCUAAAAUUCCUUAUUCACAUAUUCAGUUCCAUUAUCACUCUGGAUAAUUUGAAUUUAAGUGCCAAACUGAUUUUUUACAUAAGCAUAGAAAGCCUUAAAACAUUCAAGUACCUCACUUUUAUGUUUCAUUAAAUAUACCCAUGUCAUAUGAGAAUAACAGUCAAUAAAGGUAACAAAAUAUUUUGCCCCACUUAUAGCAGUGACCGGAGAAGUCCACACAUCUGAAUGGAUUAAUAUAAAAGGUGAUAAACUUCUUAAACCCCUGCUCACUAUGAGCUUCUAGUGUGCUUCCCAUACUCACAAGCAUCACACAUUAAAUUACUCUUAUUCACCUUAGACAUUUCAUGAGGGAACAUUUUGCUCAUGACAUCAAAAGAUACAUAUCCUAAACGACAAUGCAACAACAUCACCUUAGCUUCAUCUUCACUAGCUGAUAGGGAAAAAUAGACUUCUUCUUUUGUCUUGCUUCUAUCAAGAUACCAAAGCCCAUCAUGCCAAGUUCCAACUCCAAGAUUUCUUCCGGUCCUCCUUUCCUGAAUUAAACCAUUUUCACGAUCAAGAAGCACCCGACAGUCCAUUUGAUCAAUCAACGAGCUUAUUGAAAUAAGAUUUACAGGAAAGGAUGGCACAUGUAAUACUGAUGAUAAGGUAAUAGAUGGUGUGCAUUGAACUGUCCCAACACCUCUAAUAGAACAAGAGGUUCCAUAUGCAGUUUUGAUUGUCCCCUUAUAAGAAUGUGAGUAUGGUGUAUAAGAUGUAAAUUCAUUUACCUUACCCGUGACAUGCCUUGAUGCACCUGAAUCUAAUAUCCAAUUGGAUAUAUAAUUUUGGUUGAAUGUACCUAAGUCUGAGUGAACCACAUCAGCAACAGUGUCACUCGAGGAUGUUGUUUCUUGAUUGUUUAGUUGAGAACCCUUUCCAAUUUCCUUCCACUUCCUGAACUCAUCUAGCUCAUUUGGCAAAACUGUAACUGAUUCUGUAGCACACCCAUCUGACAUUGCAUGAUUAGCUCUAAAGCUUACUCUUCCACCACGACUUGAACCUCCUUGGCUAGUACCACCUCUUAACAUACCUCUGCCUUGACCCCUACCACGAUUUGGUUUUAGUGGCUGCCGGCAAUCACGAAUCAAAUGCCCCUUUUCACCACAAUUAUAACAAAUUCUGGUCUCUUGGGGCCCUGCUACCACAUAAGCUUGACUUGGUGAAUUUAAGGUGUGACCCUUUAUCACUUUGAGUCUUGUCUCCUCCUGUGCCAUAGCAGCAAUAGCUUCUUCAAGACUAGGGAGAUUAGCUUGAUGGAAUAAUACAGCACAUCUUCCUUCAAAUUUUGGAUUUAGGCCCCUCAAAAACUGAAGGACCCUUUUCUUCUCUACCCACUUCUUCACCCAAGCCACACAUUCAGGGUGAGGUAACUCAAUAGGAUCAUAAUGAUCUAAGUCAGCCCAUAGUCGCUUCAAUUCUGCAACAUAAUCCAUCAAAGUAUGCUCCCCCUGUUUCAGAUAAUGUAUUUUAUCAUCUGUAUCUGCCAACAGCAUCACAUUCCCAACACCUGAGUACAUGCUUGCAAGAGCCUUCCAUAUCUCCAAGGCAGAAGCAAUAGUAUCAACAGAACCCGCAAUUGUUGAGGUUAUAGAAUUGAAUAACCAAGUAACCACUAAAGCAUUAGUGGCAUUCCAAUUCUUCCAGUCACUGCUCAACUUAUCUCUAGGUUCAGUUUUUUCCCCAUUGAUGAAGCCCUCGAGCUUCUUUGAUUGCAACAGUAACAAUGCUCUUCUGGACCAAGCCAAAUAGUUUUUCAUGCCUUCCAACUUGAUAUCAAGAGGCAUCAACUCCAAUUUUUGAACCAUAUCAAUCUCUUUAUUUGAGGACGGGACAUCAUCCUUCUUUGCAGUGAGUAGUUCCACCAAUUUCCCAAGAACAUUUUCAAUUCCUUGAUUCUCUGCCAUAACAGCGGCUUUGGAACCCCUUGCUUCCUCACAACAACACUUUCUUCCUCCAGAUGCAGUAUAGUUGUUGCUCCUCCACAAACCAGCACAGAUCCUCUGAAUUGGCUUGGAAACCAGCAACGACCAGCAACUCAACUGCUCCCUGCUCCCUUCUCUCUCUGCCAGCGACCAGCAACUCAACUUCUCUGCCAAAACCACCAGCAGCUCCACCUUGCAUGCCUCCCCAACACGCAGCUCGAUCUGGGGCCUCCGCCGGCCUGCGUCCCUCAGCACGAGCAGCCACGCAGCCACUCCAGCUCCUGCUCGCCAGCCACCUGCUGCUCCUCCGCUGGGCCCCCUGCUCCUGCUGCUCCUCCGCCGCCCGUGGGCUCCCCGGCCGGUGUCGCGGCCGCCUAGAGCUCCAGCACGGGCAGAUCCGCGCCACCGCUACGAUUUGCGGCAUUGGGGAAGCAGCGCCGCAAGGACGCCCGCCGCCAUUGGAUCCGCUCACACACGACGCAGCACCGCCCUCUCCUCCAGCUCCUGCUCGCCGGCCGACGUCACGCUAACGAGGCCCUCACCAUCGCCACCAACAUCGCCCCCAGCCCUAGCCCUGAUACCAUGUCGAAGGAUUUGGGGACAAAUCAACUCAGGAGUAUUUCCUCUCCUGGUGCCUUUUCUUAUCACCACUCUUUUACAUUUUAGUCCUGCAUAUAUAUAUCAAUAUUACAUACACACACCAACAGCGCUCGCUGCCAGUUUUGCAUGUUCAGCAGCAAGGGACCUCGUCCUCUCGAUUCCCUGACUUUUUGAAAGGUAUUUGAGGGCCUACAAGUGUAAAAUUGAGCAGUUCUGAGACCACACUAGAUAAUUUAUGAGCAUUUCACAACCCAAAUAGUUGGAUUAUAUUACUGGAAACAAAGAAAAGUAAACUUUCCUUUCAAAAAAAAAUACACUUGCAAUACGAACCGUCUUAACAUUUAAAGGGUCAUCAAAUCCCUGUUCAACAAUCUCAUGCAGUUCAGGGAAUUCUUCCAUCGCAAAAAGUACGGGAGCUGUCACAAUUCCCUGUCCAUACAGGGCAUAUAUGAUUCCUUACAUGUCAUUGAUAUGUUAAAAAGUAAAAUACUACUGAGGAAAUAUUGAGUGAAUAACUGUAUUACUUGAUGGAUAUCAGACAAGAGGCUUUGCCUAGUGAAGCUGAUGUGCCUGUGAAAUCGAGGAUGUCAUCGAUCAACUGAUAUGCUAUGCCCUGGAAGAGAGAGUGCAGGUCAUCUUAACAGUUCAUGUGUCUAGCAAAAAUAGGAACAGCUUCUGUGUAAGGAAAAAUACAACACACCAAGUGUCUGCCAUACUGAUAAGCAAGAGCUUGUACUUCUGUUGUUUGCUCAGCAAGGACAGAAAUAGCUUUGCAGCUGUUUGAAAUCAAUGCAGCUGUCUUGUAGUAUGUCUUCUGCAAAUAAUAGUCCAUGCUGUACAAGCAUCCACCAACAGGUGUCACAUUAAGUAAAAUAUUAGAAAGUGUUGAUUGUCAUGGCUUGAUGAACUCAUCUAGCAUUCCUUUCUUUUCUUGAAUCUGCUCGAUCCAGAACAAGGUUAUCCAAGUUUUUAGUAGAUAGAUUAGCACCAAUGAUCUAUUUAAUUGUGAUUGGCAUUAUAUUAAGUAGUGAAUACUUUUCCUGGACUUUGAUUUGAUGAUAGUUGAUGAAAAGUAACGUCAGUACAUAUCCACUCUAAGCUAAACAGCUACUUGCACACAUAUGACAGCCCAAAUAAUGAAGAGUUAAAGAAUCAACUGAGCAUAACAACACAUUCUAAGGCACUAAUCUG
rnacentral:lncRNA from 1 species